UUUCUGACUGCUUUGAUAAUGGAUUCCACGUACAAAACCAACUUGUAUAGGAUGUCAUUGUUUGAAAUAGUUGGAGUCACCUUAACCUAUUCGAAAUAUUCGAUUGAUUUUGCAUUUAUGACGUCGGAGAAAGAGGAUAACUUUACUUGGGCUUUGCAAAUGUUACUUAAACUUCUUGAACCAAAUAGUGAUAUGCCUAAGGUGGUAGUGACCAACAGGGACACAGGUAUGAUGAAUGCCGUAGAAAAUGUUCUCUCCGAUAGUAGUGCAAUACUUUGUUAUUUCCAGUGUUGGCAAAAAUGUUAGAUCAAGAAUCAUCACCGAUUGCAAAGUUAAACAAAAUGUUGUGGUAGUGGAUGGACAAAAGAAGAUUGUCGACGAGGAGAAGCAUAGUAAGUUAGCUGAUACCAUAUUUGAUGCUUGUAAAAAUUGGUAGAAGCUCCUACUCAAGAGUUAUAUGCGGGUAAUCUAUUGGAAUUCCAAGAUGCUUGUAAAGAUUAUCCAAAGUUUCUUCACUAUGUUGAAACUACCAUUUUUAAGCCUUUUAAGGACAAAUUAGUGUGGGCAUGGACGGACCUUGUGUUACAUCUUGGGUACAGGACCACGAACAGAGUUGAAGGAGCUCAUGGUGUGGUGAAGGAAUAUUUGUCUACCACCAAGGGUGAUUUGGGUACUUGUUGGGAAAAAAUAGAUGAGAUGUUGGCAAACCAAUUUGGGGAGAUACAAUGAUUGUAACACCCCGUUUUCCCAACAUAAAAAUUUCAUAAAAAUAAUCAGAGUAAUUCACAUAAACGGAAUGUCACACUUCUUUCUUAAAAACAUAAACGGAAUAAUUAACUAAUUAUCCUUCAAAAUUCAAUUGACAUAAUAUUCAAUACUUCACAGCGGAAUUUAAUUCAAUCAACUAAAAAUAGUCUUUGGCACGAAGGCCUCAUCAUAAAAAUCUCAUAAAAUCAAUUCAACAACUUAUUUAUGAAAAUUCAUAAAGUAAUACGUAAGGAAUAGAAAAUAGCAACAAAAUCUCAUCCCGUUACGUAUCAGAGCACCUAAAGACACACGUGAGAGAUAAUCCACCCACGACAGCAAUCUAACAGCAACUUAUUCUCGGUCACCUGCAGGUUAUCCAUACGAAGGACAACAUUUUCAAGCAGAAGGGGUGAGAUUUCACAUUCAAUAAUAAUAAGCAUAUAAUUCAUCAAAAGCAUUUAACAACUUAAACUUCAUCUAUUAGUAAUAAUAAUUCCACAUGUAAUACUUAUUUAACAAGUCAAACAACAUCAUGUAAUCAUCAUAACAACAGUCAUAAUCAACGUCAUGUAACAUCAUAACAACAUCAUAAUUAAUAUCAUAAUCAACAUCAUAACAUCAUCAUAAUCAACAUCAUAUAGCAUCAUAACAUCAUAAUCUACAUCAUAUAGCAUCAUAAUAACAUCAUAAACAACAUCAUAACAUCAUAAUCAAUAUCAUAAACAACAUCAUAAACAACAUAACAACAUCAUAAUCAAUAUCAUAAACAUCAUAUAAUCCUCAUAAGCACUUCAUUAACAACACGUGGAUAGAAGACAACUCAACAACUUAACAACUCAUGGACGACAACUCAUCAACAACGACUUUGACUCGACAAUGCAACUUCGACUUCUUAAUCAUGCAUGUGGUACCAAUCCAGGGCAUCAAGUCCCUAACAUAUUGAGCAUAAAUACACUCCCAGGGCAUCAAGUCCUCAACUUAAAGAGAAAAAGCUCACAGGACAUCAAGCCCUCAACGUAUUGAGCAUAAAUACACUCCCAGGGCAUCAAGCCCUCAACUUAAAGAGUAAAAGCUCACAGGGCAUCAAGCCCUCAACGUAAAUGAGUAUGCAUGGACUCAACAACUAAUGCAACGACUGUAACACCCCAUUUCCCAAAAUCAAUUAAAUAAUAAUAAUUCAACAUCAGAGUAAAACCCAAACGGGCAUGUCACAUCACAUUUUCAAAAUCUUCUUAAAUAGAACAUAAAAAUCUAUUUAAUUAAACAUCCUUCAAAAUUAUCAUUAAAUCUGCAGCGAAAUAUUCUCAUCAAAACCACAACAAUAACUGUUUUAAACUCCAUAAUAAAUUAUUGGCACAAAAGCCUUAACAAUAUAAAAUCCAAUAACAAAAGGCUACAUCAGCAACAAUCCAAAUAUGAUACAUAAGGAAUGAAACAUAAUAAGUAAACUCAUCCCAAAUGUAUCAGAGCCCUAGACACUUGAGUCACCACCAACUAAUCAGGAUCACCUGCAAGUUACCCAUAGGAAGAGCAACAUUUUCAAACAGAAGGGGUGAGAUUCACAACAAUAAUAUAAAUAAUGAAUGCAUCAAUUGAAUCUAACACCCUAUCAACAUAAUUCAUCAACAUAUAUAAAUAUUAUCAAUAUCAAUGUCAUCAACAAAUGAUAAUUAAAAACCAACACUACUACUCAUGCAACUCACCACCACUCCACUAAGACUUCUCUAACAACACCCAUGCAUGUGGUACCAAAAUCAAGGCCGAAGCCCUAACCGCUGUAGAAUGAUUAAGGCAUUCAUUUUCCAGGACAUAAGUCCUCACCGCUAAACACCGCUUUGAGCAACUAGUGCUCCACCACUUUGAACGACAAGGCGUUCCAGAGCCGAAGCUCUCCCACUUUUAUGCUUAUGCAAAUGACCCACUUGUGUAUAUCUACAUACAACUCAACCUACGCAUAUAUAUGUAAAUGACUCACCACUCCAAAAUACAACAUUCAUGUAUGACUUAAUUAAAUGAAAUCAUACAUUCCAGCCAGCAUCAAUUCAUUAUAACCAAUUUAGAACAUCCAAGAAAAAUACACCAUUAUAAUAGCCAUGCUUAAACAUCAAGAUAAAUCAACCAUCAACAAACAGAACCAACAAUUCAAAGUCUGGGCAACUCGCCUCGCGAGUACUCCUACUCGCUAUGGCGAACUCAAGGAAAGGGGUACUCGCCAUGGCGAGUUCGAGGCGAACUCGAGGCGAACGAAAAUAUGGUGCUCUCGGGAGUUUUGACAUUUUUCGCACUAAAUCAUCAAUUCUAAGCUCCCUAUUCAUCUUUUUAAUCUAAAACUUGCUCCAGUCCUCUCUAAAAUCAUCUAGGUACUUAAAACUAUCCAUUUUACAACUUAUAACAACAUUUCAAAAUCAUGAUCUCUCAGGUGCUUACUCGCCGUGGCGAAUGGUUCUGCUCGCGAGGCGAGCCAUGAAGAUUGCUCACUCGCGAGGCGGGAAGGUCUACUCGCCUAGGCGAGCGAUGAGUAUCAGACGACUAGAACCCAGAUUUUUUUUCCCAAAAUCCCAAUUUUCUCAAUUUCACUCCCCAAAUCAGUUUACAGAUAUGCAAUGAAAGGUUGUACGCACUCAGAACCCAUUUCUAACAUCAUUGUAACAAUCCCUACUCUCAAAAACCAUUAAUUAACAAAAACCUAAUUUUUCCCAACUCUUUCAUAAACCUGUUAAAAUCAAAAUCAGAAUUCAGAAUCUAUACAAUUGCGGUAAACCUCACCCUUACCUUAGAAUUUCAGAAAGGAAUGCACAACAAUUGACAAACUUGGCUCUCCUUGCUCUUCUCUCAUUUUUUCCCAAAACUGACAGUUUUUCACGUAAAACGUAUUCUGACUCUUUCUUUCUUUCUUAACUCUUUUCUUAACUUCUCUUUAUUUUAUUUACUCCCCCUUAAUUCUAAUAAAUUCUAACAUAACCCCCAAAACUCCAAUUUAAUACUAAUUCUCACUUGUUCUAAUUAUUAUUAAAAUAACCUAUAUAAUAAAAUAUAACACACCAUAAAAUCCACAAAUAUUAUUUAAAAUCAUAAAAAGACUCCACAUAAAUUCAAAAUAAUUAAAAUAACGACUAGGGCGUUACAACUCUCCCCAAAUUACAGAAUUUCGUCCUCGAAAUCUUACCUCAAACAAACAACUCUGGAUAAGAAUCCCGCAUCUUACUCUCCAGCUCCCAAGUCAAACUUUCACCAGUCGCUCCGUCCCAAACGACUCUCACAAGGGGUAUUUCCUUGCCCCUCAAUGCCUUCACUUUCCGAUCAUCAAUCCUCACCGGUAAGGUCUCUACCGUAAGGUUGUCUCUAACUUGCACAUCAUCUCUCGGAAUAACAUGCGAAAGAUCCGCUACAUACUUCCGAAGCUGCGACACAUGAAACACAUCAUGCAAGUUCGAAAGAUGUGGUGGAAAACCAACUCUAUAGGCCACUGUUCCAACCCUCUCUGAAAUCUGAUAUGGACCGAUGAACUUUGGAGUCAACUUUCUCGACUUCAAUGCAUGUCCCACACCCGUCAUAGGAGUAACCCUCAGAAAGACAUGAUCACCCUCCUGAAACUCAAGGGCCUUUCUCCGCUUGUCAUGGUAACUCUUCUGUCGACUCUGCAUAGUAAACAAUAUAUUCAUGUGAUCUUGAAAGUUAUUACCUGGAAAAAUAUUUUGUGAUGGAACAGUAGAUAUUUGAUUAUUGCAAAUAUUUUUCAAGAUGACUUCCUUGUCUAGAAAAAAAUAUUAAACUACAAACCAUAUACAAAUAUUGUAAAAUAGUACACCCGUUAUAUGAAAUGGAUAUUCUUGAUGUUACUUGGACAACUUUCUUGUGAUGGAACAAUAUAUGUGUUGAAAACAAUUAUGUGCUAAGUUCAUUUUAAAGUGGGUGAACAAAAUCACAAUGACAUUGUGAUACCAGAGAAACACAUAAUAUACAAAUAAAAAAAGAGUGGUUUAAUGAUGGACAUCUUUAAUUAUCUGUUAUAACAAGUUAACAUAAUUUUUCUUUUUAACAUAUACACAUUUAUACAAUAAACUUUAAAGUAAAAAACUAUGUGAACAAUUUAGAGAUCCACCGUUAGAACUAUUUUUUCUCAUGUAUAUACACACGAAAAUCAAGCAUCACAAUAUAAAAUAGUAAAAAAUAUGAGUAGCUAUUGAUCUUUGAAGUUACCUAUUUUUCUAACAACCUGAGCAUUAUCUUCGAUCUUAUCGUCACUAAUUAGCAUAUAAUUCAUCAAAUCUUUAACUUUGUUGCUAGUCAAUCCAAUAACAUCAUUAAUAUUGAUAUCUUUUAUCGGAGGAAUAAAAUUUUGGAUUAAAUGAAUUCACAAUUUUAUAUGCAAUAUAAUCAUAUUAAAAUAAGAAUAUAAAUUGAAAUAAAACUUACCGUAUAGUUGAUGCCUCACAUUGAUGCGGAUCCGUGAGAUCAUAUUGCGAAAAAUCUAUCCACAAGGAAUAGCACGAAAAAUGACUAUUUCCCCUUAAAAAGUUCUGCCAUCAAUAAAAUAUCAUCAAAAUUAUUUCUUUCAUAAAUACUCUAUCGAAAAGCAAUAGAUCCAUUAACCACAAGUUCAUUCAAGCCAAGAAAAUGAUUUUAUUCAUACUUCAUUAAAACUUAAACAUUUUACAAGAAAUCAUUUUCGUUUAAAAUCAAAUUUUUCUUUGAGAUCUAACGUCAUGAGCCAUGGAUCUAUAAUUCUAACCAAUAAAAUUGAAAAAAAUCACCAUAUAUAAAGGUUGUAGGCCUAAUGUCCAUUACCAAAAAAAAACCUAGGAACUUUUUUUUUUGCUUGCAUUAAUAAUUUAUGCUCAUGAAACAUAAUAUCAUAGUGAUCCAAAAUUCAAGACAAAAUAAAAUCUUUCAUGAAUAAAAUCAUCAUCAAGUUAUAAAAAAUUGUAAUUUUCCAAAGUUGUCAUAAGUAAAACUUUUCCUGGGAUUCAUCCACUAGAGUGAUGAAUCUAUCAAUUUAGAAGGAUUUUUUUUUUUUUUUUAAAGUCUUGAUUCCCUCUAUCAAUUUAGAGGGAAAAUAAAAAUUUCUCUCAUCAACAUUUACAUGGUAAUGGAGAGAAGAAGAAAUCAAGGAGGGUUUAUUCACAAACCAUUGAAUGAUUUAGCUCUUAAAUUUGUUUUUAACUUGGUCAUUGACGUCUACAAGAAUUUCUUGUUAACCAAAUGAUAGUUUUUUUUUUUUUUUUAAUAAAAGAAAAGAUAUAUUAACUCAAGAGAUCUUUAAAGUAUACAUCAGAUAUUUGUGUUGGCACCUCCUCUAUCCAUAUGCUGGCAACUUGGGCCAUACUAUGGGCCGUAACAUUACACUCUCUAGGGAUAAAAUUGAAUUGACACUUGUCAAAACUAAAUUGGAGCCUUUGGAUUUCUUUUAUAAUACUACCAAGAUAAGAUCUAUCUUCAAUCUUAUUGUCCUUCCGAAGCCAAAAAACCUUUUCGUUAUCUCCUUCAAAUAUCAUUUGUCUGAAUCCACAGUCUAUGGCUAAACGAACUGUAGAUAACAGACUAAAAGCUUCAGCUAAAACCACCUCCUCUGUGCCCUUGACUUUCCAUGCUGCCGAAGCCAUCACAAGACCAUUUCCAUUCCGAAUAAUGGACCACAGGCCCCACCAUCCUUUAACAUGGAGAUUUGCAUCACAAUUCGCUUUCAGGAAAUCCUCUUCUGGUUUUUUCCAUUUGGAUCGAUUGGGAGGUUUAUUAGGGCGCGCAUUGUGAGAGCGAAGUUGAUUUUCAGAGGCGGAUCGAGAGCUGGCUUGCAUGAACUCAGAGAUGCUUCUUUCGGCGCGUUGAACAAUAUCAAUUUCAGAUAUGAAUCUUUCUUCAAAAAUGGAUUGAUUUCGAGCGAACCAAAUGUUAUAGAUUAAAGCAGCAGUUUGAAUUAUGGUUUCUUCCUUCUGCCGUAGAAUAGAUUGAGUUAGCCAAUCUACAAAAUUAGUGGUAGGCUGAUUGUUGAUUCUGAGGUUAAGUUGAGCUCCGAACGAAGUUCUAGUGAUGUAGGGACAAGUCAUAAAGACAUGGUUUAUGUUUUCUACCUUAGCAUUGUAUCUGGGACAUAAAUGUAACACCCCGUUUUCCCAACUUAAAAAAAAAAUUCAAACAUAUAGGUAGGUAGAAGACUCACCCACGAGUCAUCAGCUUAGCAACUCGGAAAGUAUCGGUUUAGGAACUCUCUCCUAAACACAGCCCAAAUAACCACAUCACCGUCUUGCUCUAAGGUAGGUAGAAGACUCACCCACGAGUCAUCAGCUUCUUCAGCUAGCAUGUGCGUACCAAAACGCACCUUCUGAACCUUUGAACACUGCAUCACACGAAACACUCUUUCUAUCUCUUUGAGCUAAGUCUGAGCUCCAUCAGGGUCAUAUCUUCCCUUGAAAUUAGGAGGAUGAUUCCUCACAAAACUCUCCAACAUCCUCGCUUCAGCACUUGCUCCAGCAUUCGCAUUAGGCUGUUGUCCCACAGCUUGAGCCACAACAUGUAGUGCAGCAGCUAACGUAGCGUCGUUUCUUCCAGCCAUCUCUUAGUUUUCUACACAACAAGCAACAACAACAUAGGACAGUAUUACAACUGCUACUAAACUCGACCCGACUCAACUACUUGGCCGGACGGACCAACCUGCUCUGAUACCAAUUGUAACACCCCGUUUUCCCAACUUAAAAAAAAAAAAAUCAAACAUAAAAUCAGAGUAUUCCUCAUAUAAACGGAAUGCUACACUUCAAAAAUUAUAAAUAAGAUAAUUAACUAAUUAUCCUUCAACAUAAAUCAAAUUCCAAAACAUAGCAGCAGAUAAGUUCAUCAUCAUAAAUAAAGUCUUGGCACGCAGGCGUCAUCAAAAUAUCCCAUAAAUUCAGUCAAACAACUUAAUCAUAAAUCAAAUACGUAAAGGAACAAGAAAUAGCCACAAAAGAUCACAUCCCGUUACGUAGCAGAGCACCUAAAAGGACACAGUGAGGGAUAACCACUCACGACAGCAACUCCAGCUACUUAAACUUGAUCACCUUCAAGUUACUCAUACGAAGAGCAACAUUUCCAAGCAGAAGGGGUGAGAUUUCACAUAACAAUAAUAUUAAGCAUAUAAUUCAACAAUUAUAUUUAACAACAUGAAAACAUCAUAGAUAAUAAUGUAUCAUUUAUCACUUCAUUCAUAGUUCAUAUAAACAAUCACAACUUCACAACUUAUCAUCUUUGACUCGACAAAUGCGACUAUGCAACUUAGACCUCUUAUAUGCAUGUGGUACCAAUCCAGGGCAUCAAGCCCUCAACGUAAUAAGUAUUAAUAUACUUCCAGGGCAUCAAGCCCCAACAUAAUUGAGCUAAAGCUCCAGGGCAUCAAGCCCCCAACGUGGUGAGCAAGGGCUCCAGGGCAUCAAGCCCCCAACAAUGAAUGUUAAUGCAUGGACACAACAUCUUAACAACUUAGAACAUCAUCAUCUUAUAAGUCCAAUAAUUUGGAACAUCAUCAUCAUCAACUUAGACCGACUCAUGCAACUUAGUUAAAAAACAAACAACAACAUAGGCAGUAUGCAAAUCAUCAUGAUAUAACAAUAUCGAAUGCAAAUCAACAACUUAAAUAUCAAACAUAAGUCAUGUAAUGUAUAUACAAUUAUAUAUCAUUAUAAACAACAUGGAUUCAUAUGCAUCAGUCUUACUGGACAACAACAUCAAGAUAAAUAACUUAGUUUCUAACCUCUAAGAUCAAUUUACAUCAACUUGUGCGACAAGAAUCGCAUUUAACCUAAAUAAGGCAUUCUGUAACUAGUUAGCUCGCGAGGCGAUAGCCUCUACUCGCCAUGGCGAGUUCAGGUUCAGUUCACAAAAAUUCAUUCUAAAGUCUCUCCAGGUUCAAUCUCAUUCUCCGAUCUUUCCUAAUCAUUAUUAGACAUGUUCAGGCACUCAAAAACAUCUAUGGAUCAACUCAAAAGUCAAAAUUUCGAAAUUUGGGUAGCUCUCUGGUCAUGCUUGCUAUGGCGAGUUCAACUGUUCGCUAUGGCGAGUUGCGAGGUGCAACUCGCGAGGCAAGGGAAAAUUGCUCGCGAGGCGAGCGAUGAACUUCAUCACUCGUGAGGCGAGGAUCAUCGUUUGCAAGGGCGAGCGAUGAAUGUUGGCUCGGGCAGAAGUGUAGUUUUCACGAAAAUUCACUAUUUCUCACGGUUUAAAGCCUAACAUUGAUUCCAGAAUUCAUCCUACACAUUAUCUAAGGUCUAGGAACAGUUUCUACAUCAAUCUAACAAGUUUCCACCGUUUAAUCAAUAAUUCUACAAUUUUGACCUAGUUUUCAAAUCCUCUAAAACUCAUCCUACAUCAUGUUAAACCUAAUCAUUGAAUCACAGACUUAAUAGAAUUGCAAAGUUAGUCUCACCCUUACCUUAACAGUGAAAAUCGCAGCACUCUAGGUCUUUCUCCCUUCUCUUGGCUUUUUCUCCCUUUUCUCCAAAAACUGAUCGUACGUUAUGUUUUUCUAACUAGGUUUAUCCUAUUUAUAUCUCCUCCAUCUAUCUUAUCUUAUUUCUCUUUCUCCCCCAAAACUCUCUAAAAUCUCAAAACAACCCCUAAACUCAAUAAUUAUUUUAUUUUCAAAUCUUAUUUUAUUAAACAAUAAAAUAAGUCACAACUCCUCAUAAAAUCACAUAAAUCACCUCAAUCAUAUAAACCUCUUAAAUCACACAUAUAUCAUAUAAAUAUAAUAUAAACUCAUUAUAAUAAACUCUAGACUCAAUUAAAUAAUUCAAAGAGGGCGUUACAACUCUCCCCAACUUAUAAGAUUUUCGUCCUAGAAAAUUAACCUCAAUCAAACAACUCUGGAUAAGAUUCCAGCAUCUUACUCUCUAGCUCCCACGUUAAGCUUUCACCAGUCGUUCCGUCCCAAACGACUCUCACAAGAGGUAUAUCCUUGCCUCUCAACGUCUUCACUUUUCGAUCAUCAAUCCUUACCGGUAAAGUCUCAACCGUAAGGUUAUCUCUAACUUGCACAUCAUCACUUUGGAUCACAUGGGAUGGAUCCGGAACAUACUUCCGAAGUUGCGACACAUGAAACACAUCGUGCAAAUUCGAAAGGUGCGGUGGUAAACCCACUCGGUACGCCACCGUUCCAACUCUUUCUGAUAUCUUAUACGGAACAAUAAAUUUCGGAGUCAACUUCUUUGACUUCAACGCUCGUCCAACACCAGUCACAGGAGUGACUCUCAAAAAUACGUGGUCUCCUUCUUGAAACUCAAGAUCUUUUCUACGCUUAUCAUGGUAACUCUUUUGUCGACUCUGCGACGCUUUCAUCUUUUCUUGAAUCAUCUUAACUUUCUCAGUAGUUUGUUGAACGAUCUCUGGUCCUAAGACCACUCUUUCGCUUGACUCAAACCAACACAACGGAGUUCUGCAUCUCCGACCAUACAAAGCCUCAUAAGGUGCCAUUCCAAUACUAGAAUGAUAACUAUUAUUAUACGUGAACUCUAUCAAUGGAAGAUGACUAUCCCAAGUUCCACCUUGCUCAAGUACAUAAACUCUCAACAAAUCCUCCAACGACUGAAUCGUCCUCUCCAACUGACCAUCUGUCUGCAAACUUUUCCAAAAUCUAGAAGUAAAUCUUGGAUUUCUAUCUGAUACAAUGCUCGAAGGAACACCAUGCCAAUUCACAAUAUCACGAAUAUAAAUCUCUGCCAACUGAGAAACAGGAAAACUGAUAUUAAUCGGAAGAAAAUGAGCCGACUUCGUCAAUCUAUCAACAAUCACCCAAAUCGCGUAAUUCCCUUUAGGAGUAUUCGGAAAACUCGUCACAAAAUCCAUGUAUAUACUAUCCCAUUUCCACUCUGGCACAUCUAAAGACACCAUCAUACCAGCAGGUUUCUGAUGCUCAACUUUCGACUUCUGACAAAUCAAAUAAGAAUACACAAACUGUGCAACAUCACGUUUCAGUCCAACCACCAAAACAACUUCUUUAGAUCAUGAUACAUCUUCGUAGCUCCCGAAUGAAUACUCAAGUUACUUCUAUGACUCUCUUCAAGAAUCAUUUUCUUCAUCUCAUCAUCGUCUGGAAUACAAAUCCUACCUCAAAACCUCAACAUACCUUGAUCAUCGAUUUUAAAAUCACUGUCUUCAGUCCGAUUACUAGCCACCAACAAGUCCACAAACUUAACAUCAACUUGAAGGUGAGAAAAACACAAGAAGGGGGGGUUGAAUUGUGUUUUCUUUCUCUAAAAAAAAUCUUCUUCUGAUGUCAUUUCAGAAGCUUUUUAAGAGUGCUUUUGAUGAGAUAAUACUUCAGAUGCAAUUAAAUUGCUUCUGAUGUAUUGUUCAGAAUUGGAUACGCAGCGGAGUAAAAAUAGAGUAGAGAAAAGAAAGAGAGACACAAGCAAUUAUACUGGUUCCUUCCACAAACCGGAAGUAGUCCAUUCCCCCUUGCACUUCCAAGGAGAUUUCCACUAACAAAUAAUCACACAGAUUACAACUGCUCAAUACUACACCUAGUAUGAGACUUCAAAAAUGCUCAAGCACGCAGGCAAGAGACUUCCUUUGCUCAAGCACUAAAGCAAGAGACUUCUAUUCAAACAGAAUUACACAGAAAAUUGUUUGAGUUUGAACACUUGAUAUACAAUCAGUGGUGUUCACAAUACAAUGCAAUUGAAAGACUCUAUAGACUUAAGAAUUUCUAAGAUAUAUCAAAUGAACACAGAAAUUCAAAGUUCUUUGUGUGAAACAAAUUUGGUAGAGUUUGGGCGCUUUUAACUUGUUGUAUUGUCUCUGCUGAUCUUCAAGUCUUUACUCCUUUAUAUAGAGGUGUGUAGAGAGACGUUGAGAUCUUUAAGCACGUCAAAAGAGUCGUUGAGAAACCUUGAUCAAUACCAAUGAUCUUUUGCCUGAUUUGGAUGUUGUCCUAUGAAGGAUCACGUUCAAAUCCAUUCCUAUCUUGAAGGAACAUUUCUGCAGGCAGAGCUGUUAUCUUGUUUUGUAGCAUAGACACAAGCAGAGUCGUGGAGGUAGUGGUUGUACCCUUGCACUUUGUCAACUCUCAAUGAAGGACAAGCACCCAAUGUUUUUCAAACGAACGUUGGCACCUUCCCUUUAGUCUUUCGCUUUCUUAGACGAGGUUGAAUCCCAUAGACUGUAGCACCCUAUUUCUAUUAAAGCAAUAAAACAUGUGAAUAAUACAUUUAUUCAAGAAAUAGAGGCUACGCCACAUUCAAAAUUCAAAAACCAAUAAACAAGUAUAUAAACUUCAACAGUCGCAGCGUAAUAUAAAAUAGAGUAAUCAACAUAUACAUGUCAUGAAUAAAUAAUUACAUCGACAUAGAUGCAUCUCAAAAAUCCCAACAUACGGGUAAUCUCCAAACAUAACAAAAGAUAAUUUAGACCGACACAACGAAGCCUAGAUCAGAGUCGACUAACUCUAAACACCGAUAUCGGAGAAAGCUCCCGAUAUCCACCAAGCACAAGAACUCACCAAGCAACUAAACCUGCACAACGUCUACCCAUCCAUACAGAUAGGCAGGCGGUCCAUCACAGAUCUACUGGGGGUAAGUAUUACAUCAUCAUAAUCCAAAUAACAGUUAACAUGAAUAUUUCAAUAUAAACAUCAUGCACUUGAUCAAUAAUAAUAUUAUCAUAUCAAUACUUACAUCAAACCCCAAUAUCUCACAUUAAUAAUCAUCAAUCACAUGUAUCAUGAACGAAUAUCAAUUCACAGUUAUUCAUACACAAUCACCAAUCACAUAUAUCGUGAACAAAUAUCAAUUAUAUUCCAUGAACAUUCAUUAAUCACAUUUCAUGAACAAUCACCAAUCACAUUUCAUGAACAAUCACCAAUCAUAAGUCAUGAACAAUCACCAAUCACAUUUCAUCAAGUCACAUAUUCAAUUAUGACAUACUUCAUCAACCAAUCAAAUGCAUGCAAUGUUCUAGACUCUUCUAGAUGCAUGCGGUACCGGUCUCACCAAUAUUUAGGCCGUCACCCAUGAUGCCGACAGAACAUCAUAAUCUCACCAUUUGGAUAUAUAAAAAUAUCCGUCUCCAUCAGUCAUGUAUGCAUGAACAUAUAUCUUAACAACAAUACAUAUGUUCAUACAAACAACUCACCAUAUUCUCACCAAUAUUACUUGCAUUUAUGCAAUCACACCAAUAAUCCAUUACCAAUAUUUAUUUGCAUUUAUGCAAUCACACCAAUAAUUCAUUACCAAUAUUUAUUUGCAUUUAUGCAAUCACACCAAUAAUUCAUCACCACUUAUAUAAUCAUACACCAUGUCAUAAUAAACAUACACAUGGAUUCACCAAUGUCAUCACCUUCUCAUAAUUUCAUAUCAAUUACAUGAUUUACAAUAAUCAACAAACAUCAAUUAUCACAUGUGGUUUCACCAAAUCAAGCACUCUCAUAUUCCAAGUAAGAGGGAAAACAACAUCUCAUGAUAAAUAUCAUAUUCAACAUCUACGAUUCAUCAUACAUCAACAUGAUUAUCAAUAAUCAACAAUGUCAUUCAACAUCAUAUAUAUAUUCACCCACCAUAUCAUAAUAAGGAAUGUAUAUGGAUUCACCAAAAUCAUCACCUUAAGAUAAACAUCACAUUCAAACAAUCAUUCAACUUCGCUUAGUCAUAUAAGAAUAGUCACCAUAGCUCACAAGACAAUUGGCUAAAGAAACAUUUCCGACAAAAAUCCAAAUCAUGUGGCAAACGGCCAACAUUGAUAAUUUUCAAAGCUAGGCAACUUAUUCAAGUUUGAAAUCCUACAAUUCAAUCUUAAUCAAUCAUGUAGUCAAGGACUUAAGCCACUCGCAAACUAUGAGAAAUUAGUUCAAAGGAUAGCUUAAGUUCGUAUGAGAAAUUCCAAGACAAAACAACAUUUAGCUCAAAACCCGUUUUAACCGAUUCAACUCCGCCCAAAAUAUUUCUUAAACCCUUAACACAUUCACAUUCCCAAAUACAUAAAUGCAUACUCAAUUAUUCACUCUAAGUACUUCAUUAAACCCAAUAUCAAGUUUGGAAAAGUCUCACGGCUCAUAGAAAAAGUUAUGAUAAGUUUUCACAAAAAUCCACAUGUCCCAUGUGUAAUAAAUUAGUCAUAACUCAAGUCAUAAAAAUUGUUUGAAUGCCAAAUCAAAGCCAUUAGAACAAUAACAUAAUUAUCUAAAACUUUCAUGUUUACACCAAAGUCAAAAUCAAAACAGAAAUAUGCGAAAACGAUGCAAGAGCGCGAAACAGGGGAAGCUGUCACUGGGAUGCUCGCCUCGCGAGUAGGGUUACUCGCCAUGGCGAGAAAUUCCAGUGGCUACUCGCCACCAACUCGCCUCCAGCUCUCCUCGCGAGUGAUGACAGUUUGUAGAAAAUUCUGUUUUCGUGAAAAAUCCAUUUUCACCCCAAAAUCCCAAUUUUUGACCUCCCAAUACCCAAAUUGAUUCCAAAGGUUUACCCAAAUGUUUUUAGACAUGAAAAGAUACUCAAAUCCAUAUACAAACUUGAAUCAAACAUCAUUUCAAACAAAAUCACCAUUUGACCCAUUUUUUCAUCAUCAAUCCAUAAUUAUGUAUACCCAAGUCAUAAUUCACCCACAACAACAUGUCUCAGCAACAACAACAUCAAUUAAAACUUGAUUCUCACCUCAAUUCAACAACAACAUGUCACAAUUCAUCAAUUAAGCAUAAUUUCAUAACAACUCAUUUUCAUACAUUAUGAACAUGUUAUUUCAUCACCAACAAUUCAUUUAUCAUUCAAUUAACAUACUCAAACUUAUCACCAAAACAAGAGCACGGAUUUAACAACAAUUAUCAAUUCAUUCCAAUCAACCCAUUUCAUACAACAAGGAAAAUUGCAAACAAAACAAUCAUGAUUAUGAAGAACACUAACCCCCUUACCUUAGGUUAUGAUCAAUUCAAACUUGAGCUUCACUUUAGCUCAUAAUUCCUCAAUCUUCAAGUUUCCCCCUUUGCUAACCCUUGUUCUUCCUUUCACUCACUUCUCUCUCUACAUCUCUCUAACUUAGUGAAAUGAAAAGGAAUGAAUGAAUUUGCUCUCACAACCCUAAUGUUAUUUCCCCCUAGUGGGCUUAACUUAGUUUUAGUGGGCUUAACCCGUUUCUAUUCAAACCACAAUUCUAAAAAGUUUCUAUACACUCAACGGUAAUUACUAACAACGGUAAAUUAUAACCAACGGUCACUAAACGGUAAAAACUAAUCACUACACUAGUAACUUAGUAAAAUAAGGGUUCUCACUAAAUAUUAAAAAUAAUUCUCACCAAAAUUACCAUUUUACCCUUACCCGCCAAAUGACCAAAAUACCCUUCUAAUACGGUAAUCCAUGUAAAUGCACCCAAUGACAAUUAAAUACACACAAGCACAAAUAAUCACACACAAACACAUAAUAAAAGUAAUUGAAAUAAAUCUAGCUAAAAAUCGGGCUGUUACAUAGACAACUCUUAAAGACUUCAGAUUGAAUCUUCUGAUCAACUUGCAGUUUCUGGUGUUAUACAGCUUCUGAACAAUUGGCUUCUGAAGGUCUUGCUUCUGAAGGAUUUGCUUCUGAUGACGUCAUCAGAUGCAUUUUGGCUUCAGACGCACUUUCAACUUCAGAGGCAGAUUUCUUCAGAUGCUUCUAGGUUUCUCUUCUUGUUGAUUCCUUAUUAAAUUGAUCAACUUUGUCUAUGGUCCUGUACACUUGAACAAAUAUUAGCAAUAUCCAAUUGAAAAUUUUUAAUACCUUGUUAUCAUCAAAACUCAUUAAGGUUUAUUGUAAAACACAUUUUGUUCCAACAAUCUCCCCCUUUUUGAUGAUGACAAACAAUAGUAUUUAAAAUGUUCAAUUGUUGUUGAUCCAAUUAACAAGUUGACUACCAGGUAUGAGGUUUGUAAGCUCCCCCUAAGUCCAAUAGACUUUUAAGGUGAGGUUUGUAAGCUCCCCCUAAGUUCUAUACAAGUUAAUUAAAUUUUUCAUAAAAUACACACAAGGUAAUAACUCAGAAGCGUUUCUCAUUAAAAGACUAAGAGUUUAGAAACCGGUUCUAUUAAUUUAACUUGAUUAAAUUAAUGGGGCUCAGAGCCUAAAAAUACAAUACAUUUAUUCCCCCUUUUGUCAUCAACAAAAAGUAUAAAAGAAAGACAAAACGAAAGAGAGUUAAAAAAAAUGAGAAAAACUUGUUAAACAAAAUAAUCAGAAGCAGUAAGUAUCAGAGCAAAAAUAAGUAACAGAAGAAUAACAUUCAUUUUAGAAAGAGUGAAUAAUAAUCAGAACAUGCAAUGUGAACAAUCAAGGAAAGACAAUAGUUCAUAAGGCUAAACAAGUAAAAAAUCUAAACAAGAGACGUAAAUGUGUGCAACUAAGGUUUGGCUUGUUUAGACAUUGCUUCCAUCAACUGCUUGAUCUGCUUAGAUUGUCUCUUCAAUUCUUCUUAAAGUUCAACAACAUUCAACUUCAAGAAAAUUCUAAUCAAGAUAUCUAAGAACAGAUCUUGAAUGGAGAUUCUACUAGCUGAGUUGCCAAUGGCGGAGCUAGGAAAAAUAUUUUGGGUGUGCCAGUAAAAUAAACUCUAAUAUAUAAACAUAAAUUUUUUGUUGUAAUAAACGCUAAACACAAAAUUUCAUCAAAAAAUUAAACUACAUACCUUAAAAAAUUAAAAUAAUUAUUUACGCGAUCUAACUAACUUAAAAUCAUCAAUAACUAACUCAAAACUAAUACUUGCACUAAUUUCCCUUUCGAUAUAAACCGUCAUGCUAUCAUUUAAAAACUCACUUCCCAUUCAGUCUUGAUAAUCUUCACUGCUGAAAAAGAUCUCUCAAUAAUGGUCGUAGAAACUAAAAAAGUCAUGAUAAGGCCGAGUAAGUAAUCUAUAAAUCAAGAAGUACAUUGAAGGAUGAUUAAUGUCAUAUAUUUAUACCAUGCUUCCUUUAAAUAAUUGGGAAACACAUAAGCAUAUCAAAGAUUCUAUAUUAGGUACAUGAGCCAUUUGAUUCUAUAUUACACAUAACACAAUUAACAACCUGAAGCAAAAACGAGACCCGGGUGGGGAACGUGGACAAAACAUAUUGGGCUAAGGAUUUUUUUUAUAAUUUCCCUAUAGAAAAAUAAUAAUUUGGGGGGGUGGGCCGUGGCCCACCUACACCCAUACUAUCCUCCGCCACUAUGAGUUGCUAUUCUUCAUUGUUAACAUUUCCUGCAUGAAAUAUUAAAUCAGACAUUAAUAAAUAUUUUACGUUAUUGAAUCAAUUUUUCUACCUUAUGAUCAAGACAUAAAAAAAAAAAAAAAAAGACAAUAAAUAUGUGUUUAAAAUUUAAGGGUAAGCAAAAUACAUGCAAUCCAUAAGUCGAUAGCAAAACAUUUGCGCUUUAUAUUAAGAACUCAGAUUUUCAAACCUAAAUAAAAAGAACAACAAUAUCAAUAAGUAAAUCUAAAUAUUAAUAGCCAAACCAAUGUUUAUUCAAGAAGUCGAUAGCAUCUACUGUAACAAACAAUCUAUGAGAUACUUUUUUUAAAACGUUAAUUGUAAUUUUGUAUUAAUUAAGAUGAAAGAAUUAAUUAGCACUUUCAUCAAUAUCGUCAUUUAUUUGCAAAAAGAAGCCUGUGCUUCAAAAUAAAACAUUUUGCAUUCAAUUAUCAUAAAUUUUGAUUGUUGUUUGCUUCUACUACUGAAACAUCAAGAACAAGUUGGCAUGAAAUUGAUAUAUCUUCGUUUUGUCAACUAAUUAUAGUUUGGACCAAUAGUUCAAUCUUAACCAAUUAUCUAGUUUUAUUUAUUUUUUAAAAAGUAUUCAAAAUAUGAAUUGAGAAUACCACCAUCUGAACUUAAUCAAAUUAUCCAUAUCCACAAUGUGUCUUUGUGUAACUACGCACACUCCAUACGAAGUGGCAGUAAACACGAUAGCAGCAUACCAAAACGGUCCAUACCUACAACAAUGUAAUUGCCCAACCAUAGACAAUACAUUUUCGAUAAACCGAAGAAACAAUAAUUAUUUUUAUUUUAUUUAAAAAUAAAUAUUUUUUCUGCCUAAAGAAAAAUAAUACAUUGAUUUUCUUUGAUCAAACUAACCACAAAUUCAUUGAUUCAAAAAUGGAUCUAGAUGAUGAAUAAGACAUAUACACACUAUCUAUCUUAACCCAACGAUCUAAGUUACACUAUUGUGGACUUAAAUCCACAUUGUGUAAUGGUGUGACUGCAAAUAAUAAAUUUUUGGCUUAAAUGCUCUUUUGGUCCCUUAACUAUUUAAUUGGUAUCGUUUUGGUCCCUUUUGUUAGGUUUCCGUUAGGGUUUUUAAAAAAAGUUAACUUCUGGACACGUGUCACCUUGUCAUUGGCUCUGAGUUUUUUUUUUUUUUUUUUUUUACAAUUUUUUUUUUACAAAAAAAAAAUCUCAGAGCCAAUGACAAGGCGACACGUGUCCACACUUAACGUUUUUUAUUAAAACUAACGGAAACCUAACAGAAGGGACCAAAACGAGACUAAAAAAAAACUUAAAAUCCUCAAACAAUCUUUUUUUUAGUUAAGGGACCAAAGCGAUACCAAUUUUUGUUCAACCUUAAGAAAAAUCAAAACAAAGAUCACCCAUAUGCAAGUUAACAAUGAUUUCAUGCAAACAUAUACAACCAUAUAUGCUAAAUAUUCACCAAAAUUUUGGAUUUUAUUUAUACAAAAUAAUGGAUCUAAAAUCGAAGUGGAAAUUAUACACCAGAUCUUAAUCGAACAAUCUAGAUCCAUAUUAACGCAUCUUUCAAAUGGAUCUAAAAAACAAGCAGAAAUUAUUCACUGGUAGAUCUGAAUCAAACAAUCUAGAUCCACAUUUGUAAUGGUGUAACUAUAGACAAUAAAUUUUUGAUGAAACCCAAGAAACAAUAAAUAUUUUUAUUUGUUCAACCUUACGAAAAAUCGGAUAAAGAUAACCCAAAUCUUAGUUGAACGAUCUAGAUCCAUAAUAAUGGAUGCAGAAAAUUGUCUUUCGUUUUAAAAAUGGAUCUAAAAAAUAUGCGAAAAUUAUACAUUGGCAGACCUCAAUCAAACGAUCUAAAUCCAUAGUGUAAUGGUGUAACCGCAAACAAUCAAUUUUUGAUGAUUUUUUCAUGAAAACUGUGAAACCAUAAAUAUUGUUCAACCUUAAGAAUAAUCAGACGAAGAUCACCGAGAUGCAAGAUAAUCAUAAUUUCAACAAGUAAAAUCACAUAGAAAAUUGAUUGAUUUAAGCAUACCUCAUCUCCUAAGCUCCUUACAAAGAUCAUAGUUAAUAAAAAACCUACUAAGGAAAGUUGAAAGGACCUAGCAAUGUCCCUCUCUUAGAUAUAUGGGGGUGAAUGGAGUGAGGAUUAAAAUCGAGACUACUUUAAAAUAUAUAGUCAAAGACCUUGAAAUGAUCAUUUUACCACAACAAUGCAAAAAAUAUUUUAUUUAUUUUCUAUCCUUAAUUACUAGAAUAAUAAAUCACAGCUAUUUGGAAGUACAAGAACCUACUGUUUUACUUGGGUCAAUGGUUUACUAUUUGUUUUAGUUACAGGAAAUUGCUUAGCUCUAUCCCGUCAUUUAUUUAAUAUUCACUCAAAUAGGAAAAUAUCAUUUUUUGAAAAGGAACAUAUUGUCGUGGUUAUAAGAGUCCAUCCACACACACAAAAAGUCACGGUAGCCAGCAACUAUGAUGCAUGGUAAUAUAGACCACCUUACUCCAACAAUUUCCCCAAUCAUUCCAAGAAACUUGUGUGUUGACAUCCAACAUUUUAUUUAUCUUUUCUGCUUUGCUUAAAGAGUGUAUUUCCCUUUUUAAUUCUAAAUUUUAGUUUAGUCAAAGAAAGGAUUUGGCAAUCUAGUUUUUACUCCAUGGUUUCAAAGGUAACAUUUGACUUGCAAUCAACAUAAUAUAUUAAUUACAAAAAUCAACACCGAGACAUGUGGAUGUUAUGGUGUACAGAUGGGUAGGGAAAAACAUGCAUGUGUAGACAUGACUAGGGUUUUACCGCUUGUGGGAUUAGGUGUCAGACCUUUUACCGGAAAACAGGUAGCCCUAAAAGCUACGUCAAGCAAAGUGGUUAAAAAUGAGAAAGCGUGUUCUGACAAUCAACAUGUUUUUAUACCAUUUAUUGUUGACACUUUCGGUUUCUUAGCACCAGAGGUUGUUGACCUUCUACAUAGAGUUCAAAAGGUCAUGCAUAGUAAUGUCAUGUCUCAUAAGUUAAUAAAUGUUGUGUUUAUAUGGAUUGGUUUUGCCAUCCAAAAAGGUCUAGCGGCGCAGUUUGUUGCCCCAUUGUCUUCUAUUCAAGUGUAAAUAUAUGCGCAAUUUUUAUUUUGAUAAUAAUUUAAAGGCUAAAUUAUGGGUGUGUUUGUUUCAAGUUAUAAUUGUUGAUUCCUGGGAAUAAAAUGAUUGGAAUGUAUAUGCCUAUGUUUGUUACAAGUUUACUAAAUUUUAUUCCCGGGUAUAAAAUGUUCCUGGGAAUAGAAAAAAUUUCCCAAGGAAAAGGGUGGGAAUAAAGUUCCCAUGGAGAUGGGAAUAAAUUCAUAAAUAGUUUACCUAUUAUAAUCCCUAUUUUUAUGGUUCCUAGGAAUAUUAUAAAGCUAAGCAAACAUAUUUUUCCUAAAUUUCUUGGAAUAAAAUUCCCAUCUUUAUAUUCCAAGGAAUGUUAUUCCUAGGAAUAAAUUUGGUAAACUUGAAACAAACACACCCAUAUGUUUUUGGUCUCUUAACUAUUUAAUUAGUAUCAUUUUGGUCCCUUAAUUAAAAUUUGAUUUAUUUUGGUAUUUUAACUUCUCUCCGUUACACAUUUUGUUCUGGAAUUUUUCUUGGAUUUUUGUUGUUGAAGGUCGAUGGAUAUGAUGUGAAGAUGAAGAAGAGGAGAAGAAGAUGAAGAAAACAUAACGUUUUUAAAUUAAAACUAACAAAAAUGACCAAAAUAUGUAAGGAGAGAGAGUUAAGAUACCAAAAUAAAUCAGAUUUUAAUUAAGGGACCAAAACGAUACUAAUUAAAUAAUUAAGGGACUAAAAAUGCAAUUUAGCCUAAUUUAAAAAGCAAUAAUUUCGUUAUUUAGCUUUAGAAAAUGUGGGUUUUUUUUUUUUAUCUUUUGAUGAAGUAAACAAGUGCUGUGUGGAAAAAGGUUUAGACUUGAAAAUAAUUUUCUUUCUUUCAUUAUAAAGACAGAAAGAAAUGGAUUGUAUAAUGUAAUUAAUAAUUACAGAUUACAUAUACUGAAUAGUAGAGGUAACGCUAGUUAUAGCAAAAUUCAUUAGCUAUUGAUGCAAGAAAUACUAAUACACAAGAUUCACUACACCAAUUUUGACAUUUAGUAGCGCCUAUUUAAUAGCACUUUUAAAGAAAGUGCUAUCUAAGAGUUGACUCUCGUACAAAUAAUAGCAGUUUGGCGCGGGCGCUAAUAUAGGUUGACAUGUAAAAUAGCACUUUCUCUAUUAUUGGCUAUUUAAAAAAAAAAUAUAAAAAAUCAAGAAAGAGUGGGAUAGCGCUUUCCGCUAAAACGCUAACAUAGGGGUAUAAUUUGUUAGCACUUUAUAGUGAACGCUAUCUAUCUAAUGCGUGUUAAAAUAAAAUUAAAAAAAGCAGAAACUAUUUUGGGUUCGCGCUGAUAUAAUUUUCCUUUCCCACCCGUCUUUUCACACAAUCAAUAAGAACUUCUUUUCUCUCACUUGAACCCAGAACUUCUUUGAACAUCAUUCGAAUCUCAGCCUCAGCUAACUCAUACCAUACCCAUCGAACCCCAUAUCUCCCAUGUCAUCAUCUCACUCUCAACGAUGAGAUACAAAACAUCAUUUGCUGGAGUCCACAAAUGCCGAACUCUCUCCCUAGUCCCUAACCUCAUACCUUCAUCGAUCUAUCUCUCACCUAACCCAUCAUUUGAACGCUCUCUCUCUCUCUCUCUCUCCCUCGUUGAACUCUAAUUGAAUCAAUUGAUUGAAACCCCCCAUCUUUCAGAAAUCAAUUGAACCCUAAUUUGGUAAGUAUUAGUUUCUUUUUGUUUUUGAUUUCUCAAUCUGCUUUUCAGUUUCGGUGGUGCACUGAUAGUAGUUUUUUUUAAAGAAAUUGUUUUCAAUUUUAUGAUAUAUUUAUGUAUAUUAGUGUGAUGUAAUUUGAUUAGUUUUUUUUUUUGUUUUGUUUAUAGAAUUUGAUUAUAAUUUGCCCAAUUUGAGAGGUCGACACCACCACUUAAGAAACUGAAAGUGAUUGUGUAAUGAUAUGUAUAGAUGUUGUUUUUGGUGUUGAACACUUACGCCAACCCUUGUCGGACACUAGUUGUGCAUUUGAGCCGAAGUGUGUUGGUGCUAUAUAGAUUUUGGUGAGAGAUUUGAAUUUUUUUAGAAUGAGUUGUUUUCAAUUUGAUGUUGUAUGUAUAUUAGAGUAAUUUAAUGUAAAUAGAAUUAUAUAUAUUUUUUUGUUUAUAGGAAAUAAUUUAAGAAAAUGGAAGUGAUUGAAUGCAAUUAUAUGUUUCAAUGUUGUGGUUGCAAGGUCUGUUCUUGCCUUGUGUUUACGUGCAGUUGGGGUUUGUAUAGGUUGAAGUUCUCGCCUUGUAUGUGUAUGAAUGGAGAUGGUUCCCAUGUGAUUUUUUGUUGAGUGGCGUGUCUUAGCCUAUGGUUCAACUGCCGUCGAUAAUGUUUCUUCUUUUGACGAUCCAAUUUUGUUUCCUUGAUCAUGUUUUAUAUUUUUUCCUUGUUCUUGAGCAAUUGCAAGGCUUCAUGUUUGUGAAGUUUCAUAUGCUUUUCCUCUUCCUUCAUAAGAUUUUCAGCCUCCUCGUCUUUUUUCAGUUUCUAGGAAAAGUAGAUUUUCUGAAAUUAUUUUAAGUUGUGUAUUGCUAAAUGUUCUAAGGAGCGGCGUUCUGAUUAUCUUAUUAAUAAAAUUGUGAAGAUUGGAGUGUUUUAACAUUGUACCAAACAGAUAUUGGGAUGCCUUGAAACUCUAAUGUAUAUAUGAAUUGAUAAUUGUGUGUAUAUGUCAAUUAAAAUGAUUUCAUUUAAUGUAUUAAUUUGGGGUUUGUGAUACAGAUUAAUCAAAUUCUAUGUGAGGCAAUUGGUGAACACAGUCUUCCAUUGAUAAGAAGGUAAAUGUUUUUCCUUUCCUUUCCCAUUUUGGUAGUGUAGGUGCGGCCGCUUAGAAUUGGUCUUAAGUUUGUGCAUUUGGUGUGUUCUGUUAACAUUGCAAGGAUGUAUUGGUUAGGGAUGUUUGGUGUGAAAUAACCUGCAGAAUUUUGCAGUGGUGGAUCAGAUUUGUGUUGUUUUGUUGUCUCGGUUCUGUUUUGGGGUGGGAGUGAUCUAGAAUUGCUUGUGUUGUUUCGUCGUUUGGAGUCAAUUGAGGGUUUCAAUUGAGUCGGUUUUCUGAUCUGCCAGUAGUAUUGGUUCGAGGACAGCGAAUUCGGGUUAUGGUACCUUUUCAAAUUCUACUUCAAUACGUACAAUAAAUUGGUACUUAUCACUCCCUUUACUCUUCUUUUUUUUUUCUUCAUGAGAUCCUGAUCCAGGUUGCGCUGCUACUACUGAACUGUUGCGGCUUUGAGCUUUUGCUGCGGUUCUGCUACUCCUAAUUGCUACUGCUGUUUUGCGCUGCAUCUGUUGUACCACUGAUUUGCGCUUCUGCUGCUGUUCCUAUUCGCUGCUACAGUCUGCUUCCUCAUCUCCUUCCAUUGCGUUACAGACUCAUUGUGUUACAGUCCCGUCCAAACUAUUUUCUUUGUUGGUUUUAAAGGUUUGUCUUUUCCCUGUGACUGUGAUUGUAGUUGAAUUUGUUGCUGGCGGGGACGAAACUAGGUAUAGCCAUAUAGGGGCUGUUGCCACCCCUAAGAAAUUUGUUGACAAGACCUAUAUUGUAUUCUUUGCUAUUUGCCGCCCUCCCCCUAAUGCGUUUAAGCCGUCAAACAUUUUUCACACAGCCACCUAGCUAGAACCCAACAACCACAAAUACAAUGCCCCUAAAUCAUUCUCAACAAUUAUAUCCAAUAAUCAUAUAUCUUUUUUCAAGAUAUUGAGACAGAAAAACCUUAUAUAAGUGCAAAAAGUGAAGGAAAAAAAUAUACAAAAACAACACUAAAAGUCACGUUCUUUAUUUUGUUAGGAGCCUAGAUCAUUAUGGCUUGCUUAAAUUAAUUUUUUAUGAAUCCUGAAUGUAAAAACCAAAUGUAGUAAUAAAAAAAUAUAAUAUUUAUAGGCUACUAAAAGAAAUUUAUUUAUUUUUUAUGUGUUCGUGUAUGUGCUUGAAAAUAAAAUCUACAAGUUGAUUUUGUUUAUCUACCAUGUUUUAACUUGGUAACCCUCAAUAUUAUUUUCUAGUUCCGUUCCUGAUUGUUGGGACUGUUCUUAUAACCUUUGUGUGGGUUCUUAAUCUUUGUAAGGGAGCUAAAUCUAUUAUCGAGUUCUGUUUUUAUUAAUAAUCAAGUUUAGUGUGUUGAUUGUGUGUGUGUUACUAUUUGUUUGCAUCUUGCAGCAAUAUCACUACUCGUUGUAGUGCAUACUUUGGAGACCAAUAUUAGUCUUGGAAAUGUGUCUUUCUCAUUCACUCACACCAAAGCUAUAGAGCCUUUCUUUUCCAUCAUUCUUUCUCCCAUAUUUAUUGGAGAGGUUAGAAUGUUAUUCUUUUCUUUUUCCUGCAAAUUGUCAUUGCUUAUUGUAAUUAGUCUGCAGUAAAUUUGAUGAUAAUUGAUAAGUAUGUAUCAACCUAGUAAGCUUUUAAAUUAAAGGAGAGAGUGAGUUUACAUAUGUGUGGCUGAAAUUGGUCUUUGGCCUCUUUUAAGUUGACCACUAUUUCUAUUUAUUUUUUUGAGAUGUUGACCUCUCUCUCUAGGUGACUAACUUUUGUCUUUUUUCAUAUUUUCUUGUAUAUGUCAAGUGACGUGUUGUAAUGUGGCAUUAACCAAUCAUUCAAGCACUUAAAGAUGACAAAAUAUGUGAGUUUUGUUGUAUUUUGAUGUUAAAAUAACUCAUUUUUUUCUAUAAUUAACUCCUUGAAAUACCCAUUGUCUCGUUUCGGAGAUGACACUAUUUCAGUUGUAAUCAUUGUUGCAGAGAUCUUCAAAGUAAGCUUCAUACUCUCUUUCAUUUUUAAGAUUUAAGUGGUUACACUGACAUUAUUUUGUACUUCUUAGUAGCUUAUUUUUUAUUCAAAUUUUGGUUUCUAAUAUUGGUUUGUGAGAUCUGGUUUUGUCUAAAUUAUAGUUAUAGUUCAUAUUAAAAACAAAAACACAUUGCUUGAGAUCCUUGAUUGAUUAAUUUAUUGAUUCAAACUAGUCAAAUUUAAGGACAAAUACCUAGAUCCUUUAUUCAUAUUCAUAGUUAUCAAGUGUUUUACCUUAUGAAUGUACAACUUAUUCCACUAAAAGAUAUAUUCACAUUGCAACAUAUCUUUUUUUUACUUCUCUAUUUGGCACCAACUUCUAAAACUGUAGAGAACAUCAUGUGGUGAAUGUCUUUAAAACACCUUGGAGCCUAGAUUACAUUCACAAAACCUUGUACCUUUCUAACAUACUUUUGAUUAUGCUUUGUAAUAAUAACUUAGUUUACGGGAAGACUAUCACCAUAUCAACAAGUUAUUUCAAAAAUUCACCUUAACUGUGAUUUCCGCUACUACUAAUUAUUACUGCUUGUUUUGUGUUUGUGAACAUUGUCGUAACUACUUAAAGUAUUGAUAUGAUUUGUGAUUGUUCUUUGCAGCUCAAAGUUGAUAAGGUUAAGCUAAUUGAAGUAUUUGGUAUCAAUCUGAAUUUUCAAGUGCAAUUGUUGUGUAUGUACAAUGAAUCUCCAAUGUGCAAUUUGUUUAUUAUGGUUGUGAGUGGUAUGAUUAACGAAAUGUGAAUGAUGUAAUUUUGCUUUUAUGAUGAAAGAUUUAAUUUCCAUGCUUGUAAUUGGAAUCUGAGUUGUAUUUUGUUGUUAGGUUCUUUUAUAAUGAAUGACUUAUAUAGUAUUUUUUAUGAUUAAUGCAAGUGUUUACUUUUAUGAUUAAUGCAAUUGAUUUUUUUUUUUUUUUAAAUAUUUACAUUUUAAAAUCUCAAAAUUAAUUUUUUUCCAUAUAAAAGAAGGCCUACGAUAGCACUCUGUUAAAAAAAGGCUAUUAAAGAAAGGAUUUAUGAUAGCACUUUCUCAAAAAACACUAUUAAAUCCAUUUGAAAAUAGCCUCACUAACUCGCACCAAAGUAGGAACGAUAGCACUUUAAAAGUGCUAUCAUAGGCAGUAUGCUUACAAUAGCGGGGGCUUCAAUAGCACUUUUAAGUGCUAUUAAAGGCAAAAAAAAGUGCUAUUAAAUCCCUUUUUUGGCGUAGUGAUUUUUAUCCAUACAGCUAAAUCUUUGUAUUAUCUGAUGUGGACAUUUUCUCAUAAUAAUUAUUAUUAGUAAAAUUAUGUUAUUAUCUCUCCCUCUUCAACAAGUCGGUUUUAGUUUUCUCUCUAUCUCUCUUUUCUCUUACAAUUUCUUCAUCGAGGGGGUGGUUUUGGGUCAAUUCUUGAUCUAAAAUCACCCAUCUUCAUCUUUUUCUCUUUAUUUCAAUCUAAAUAAGUGAUUUUCACAUAGAUCUAGCUUUUUUUCUUUGUAAUUUCAUCAUCUAAGUGUGGUGAUUUGUUGUUCGUCGUCUUGUGUGGAAUUGUUUGAUUUCCCGUCUUCGUGCGGUGGACAUUUGAUUCAUAUUGAAAGAUCGAUUGUUCAAUCAAAGAUUUGGGCAUCAACGUUGCAGAUUCGGAGGCAAUGGAUGUUCCAGUCACUUUAAUUUCAUCAUAUACUUUUGUAGACAUUAUGCCGUUAUAUGCAAUUAACUUGGAUGUUGUGAGUUUAUUCGCAGAUUCAUCCUUUACGUUUUUAGUGGUGUUGAAUAAUGUAAUCUCUCGAUUUGAAUGAAUGAAUAUCAUUUUGUUUUUGUCAAAAAAAAUAAUAAUAUUAUUAGUGAUAAAAUAGUGGAAGCUUUUAAGACUAAUUUCAAUUAAAUUUCACAAAAGAAAACAAUUGAAUCAGGUAACUAAAAUUCUAAUUUAUUAAGCGAAGAAAAACCCACAUUUGCAAUUAAAAUUAUUUAAAACCAAAUCCUUAAAAUAAAAGUGCCAAGAAUUUAGAAGUAAACACAGCAACUAAUCUCCCAAGUUUCUUUCCUGAGAAUUGACACACAAUCACAACAACAGAACACAUUAAUCAAUGAAUUUUCUUCAAAUUUGGUUGUACAUGUAAUGUUAUGUAAGGGUCAGACCACAACAAUAUGGAUCAAGUUAGGAACAUCAACUCAGUAUACAAGUGACCAACAUAUCAUUUCUCAAAAUUUCACAAGACACAAAUUUAUCAUAUUUAUUUUCAAAUAAAUAUUUAAUUCAUGUAUUACGUAACAAAUUUUAAUCAGCAGUUAAAUUAAGCUAGGAACAUCGAACAAACCCAAGGAAGGAUGACCAAACAUGUUUAUUAUCUAAACGCGGAAUAGUGACAGCUAGAUCAAUGAGGAUUGAAUCAUGCUUUACAUGCAAACGAGGAUUCAACUUUUCGUUUUAUUCUUUAGUUAAUUUUCCUGCCGUUAAAAGUUUUUCCAUAUUUUUUGUCUAUGUUUUUAAGUUAAGUCAUACGUACCCCUUGAAUUUUUAAAUGAAUUUUUGUUGGAUUGGUUUUUUUUUUUUUUUGUUUGGGAUUUGAAUCAUGAUCUUACAUAGAUUAUGCAUUGUCCUUACCAACUAAGCUAAAUUCAUGAGGAUAGAUUGUUUAAAAUAUGAUAAGAAUCUCCACAAAACAAAAGAAUUUUUUAAUCAAACAAAAGUUAAAUAUGAAUCUUUAAACGCCAAAAAUAUAAAAAAUUAUAUUUAAUUCAUGUUUGGUUAAAAAUUAAUUAAUUUUAUUUAGAGAGAUUCUUAUAAUAUAUAAAUAUUUUAGUAAAAAUUUAUUCAAAAUUUCAAAAUUACAUAUGAGUUGAUUGAAAAACAAAUACCAAAAAUGUUGAUAGAAAGCUUUUGAAGAUUAAAAGUCAAAACAACUUUUUUUAAAAAGAUUAUAACGAAAAGUUAGACUAUUUAUUAAGAUCAAUAACAUAUUUAAUUCAUUAAUUAAUGAUGAUUAAUUUGCAAAAUAUGAUUCAUUAAUGGGAGAUUGUUGAGGUUCUGGAAUAUUUUUUUUUUAAGGAAAAUGUUUCUAUUUUUUUUUUUUUUUCCAAAUAGUCUAGUGGUUAGAGAAAUUCACCUUAAAGGUAAAUAAGUGGGGUGUUCGAACUCCGACCCCUGCAUAUAAUAUACAUUAUCCUUUACCAAGUGAGCUAAGGGACAAAAGUUUCUAUUUCAAACAAUCAUGAGUUAACUUUUUUGGGUGGAUUUUAAUCUCCAUGACGCUGUUUAUUUUCAAAGAUUGAUAUAUUCCAAUUAAAAUGAAUAUAAAAUGACUGGAUUGAGCUAAACAAUUUCCCACAACCAAAAUAUUCCAUUCUUGUACAUAUAUUUGUAUAUAUAUAUAACUAUAAUAAUAAGACGAAAACCAUAGCAUAGUACAGCUGCAAAUCAAACUCUUCAACGACCACACGUUUGAUUUAUUAGCUAAGAAUACAUAUAAAUAUGUUUAAUACAUGAGAACUUCCUCAAACAAUUUCUCACUAUAAUCUCAAGAGAAACCAUUACCGCACCAUCUUUAUCAAAACAAAGCCUCUUCUAUAUAUUGAUCUCUUUCUCAUAGCCAUCAUGACUAAGGUAAAGAAUAACAACUCUGAUAUUUUAACAACCAUUUGAGACAACUUUUAUGAUAACUUCAUUUCUCUCUUUUUAUUGCUCAAAAAACAAUAGAGAGAUAAAUAUAAGAGAGAAUAAGAAUAUAAUAUGAAUGUGAAAGAUAAAGUUGUUAAAAAAUUGUUAUAAAAUAGUUGUACAAAUAUCAUUUUUCAAAAAAUAAUUUUGAGUUUGACUUCCAUGAUUCAAAAUAUCUAAGCUACGUUUACUACAUGUAGACAAAUUUUAUGGUGCAUAAAUGAGAUAAAUAAUUUUAUCAUGCAUAAGUUAGUUUUCACUGUUUGAUCAAUAAAAUUUACCAUUAAAUUUAAUUAGAUAUGAUUUAUUGAUCAUAUGGUAAAAAAGACACUUGUGCACGAUGCAAGUUUUUUUUUUUUUUUUUCUAAUAUUAGACAAAGCCUUAAAUAUAUAUCAUAAUUAAAUUCCAUUUAUAUGUGUCGUUUCAUCAAGUAAAUAAUUAGCGUUACAUACGUUUGUUUGUAAAAUGUUUGCAGCAAAAGAUAGUGAUCAGGGUGCCUAUGAACAACCAAAAAUUAAGGAACAAAGCCAUGGCAAUUGCAGUUGGAGUCUCAGGUAAUAAAAUUCACUCUAAUUUUCUCAUAUAUUAAAAAAAAAAUUAAAAACCACUACUUGAUUAACCAAUUAUUCAUGUGUAAAAAUAUUCAGGAGUGGAAGGUGCAACUAUAAAAGGAGAUAACAAGGAUCAAAUAGAAGUAACUGGAGAAGAGAUUGACUCAGUUAAACUGGCAUCUCUACUAAGAAAGAAAUUCGGUUAUGCAGAUUUGGUGAGUAUUGAAGCAGUAGGAAAGACAGAGGAAAAGAAAGAUAAAGAGAAAGCAGAGGCAAUUGUGGCAUGGCCUUGUGUAUAUUCUAGUGUUCCUCAUUACCCUGUGUAUGAGAUAAAGAACGAACCUUCUUGUUCCAUCAUGUGAAUGUCAUCUAGAAUAUGCAUGGUAAAGAAUGAAAACAGAGGAAUACAUAUAUAGGAAAAUAAGCAUAUAUACUUAAGGGUAUAUUUUGUAGUGACAAAGAUUUAUUUGGAAGUUAUUGAUUUUGUAAGAUUGGUUUUGAUUAAGAAUAAAUAAAAUAUCAAGUGAUUAAUAUUUUUGUAUAAUGAUGAGUUGAGUAAUAAAUUUGAGUCGAUAAAAAUCAAUUUUAAUGGUGUGUUUGAUCUGCUAAAAAAUAAGGGAUUUGCCAUGACAACUCCAAUUAUAUUGUAUUUGAUUGUAAAAUUGUUCUCAUGAUUGGACUAAUUGGGGAAAUAGAAUGUACGAAAACUGAAAUUCUUGUCUCACUAAACCGCAACACAAGAGCAGUCACAUCUAAGCAUUGAAAUGGUCGAGUACUCCAUUGAUAUAAAUUGUAGGAGAAACCCUUGGUUUUACUUUCAAUCUAAGAUCAAAUCAAAAGCUUCACCAAACCAACCAGAUGACCUUUGUGAUUGUCCUGAUUAUCAAAAACAGUUUGAUUACACCACUUUCAAAUAAUUAACAAACAAGUUAUUCAUUUUAAAUGAAGGCACUCCUUCACCUUUUUUUUCUAUUGGAAAUCAAACCUAUAAAUAGAGUAGCAUGGCUAGAUUUUUUGUUUGACAAAGCACUACUAAUGACUAGCCAUGACAAAACAUAUGAUAACUUACAAGAUACAUGACAAUUAAAAAAAGUGUUUAGAGAUCAAGUCGUAAGCUUCUUUGGUUGAGUAUAAGAUAUCAGGGUUAGUAUCCCAUAUCCCAUUGCCAAACAACCUCAUCUUGCAAAGAAAAAUUAGCGAAUAAAGUAAUGAACCGUCAGCUAAAUAUUCCUCUCAAGUAAAUAAACCUUUUCUCCAACUCCACCUUCAUCCCACAACAAAAUCUUUUUUUUUUGGUAACACGCUUUAUCAAUGAACCCCUAUGAAUUUUACGAGAUUCCUCACUCUCUCCAUAUAAUAUGUAAAUAAAUACCCAAUUUUAAAGAUGGUACCUGAAGAAGUUUUGAAAAAGAUCAGAGAAAGUACAUCGACAAUGAGAUUAAGACGACUUUUAAGAGAAUCUCAUAGAUAAACUACGACAUCUUUAAGAAGACAAUUUGUCUCUUAUAUGAUCAACCACAAGAUUCCAAAACGAUAAUGUACGAGAAUCACAUCCAAUUGUCAGCCCUUAAUACUUAAAAAGAGUCAUACCUAGAGGUGUCAAAUGGGCUGGCCCGAGCCCGAGAGGCCCGAUUACAUAGAUGGCCCAGUCCCGCCCAACCCAAUUAUAAUUGGGUUGUAGAUUCUAGAGCCCGGCCCGGCUUGUGUGGGCAAUGGGCCAGCCUCGCCCCGACCCGUUUAUUUUUUACUUUUAAAAUUUAUUCACUAUUUCUUAUGUAUUUUUUUAUAUAUCAGUCACUCACCACUAUUUUUUUGCUAAAAUAUGAUUGAAUGGACAUAAAAGUGCAAAUAAUUUUGACAUUAACAUUGAAUGUUAACGAAACUCUAGAUUAUUCAUUCAAUUAAAUCAAAUUAAUAAUUUAUAAACUUUAAAAUUUUAAAACUUUAAGUUAAAUUCAUUCAUUUUUAUUAAGUUUAUUUAUUUAAAUAUUUUUUUAUAAAUAAAUUUUAAAAUAGUUGAUAACUUAUCUCAAAAAUAUACUAUUUUUUUAACAAAACUCAAAUUAAAUGGUAAUAAUGGGUUAGCCCGGCCCGAAGGCCCAUUUUUGUAUGGGCCAAAUGGGCCAAAAAAGUUCGAAUGUAUUUUUUGGGUUAGUUUUUUAGGUCCCGUCUAAAACAUGGGCUAAUGACCCGGCCCAACAUGCUGUCUAGAAAUUAAUUUUUUUAAGAAAAUGACACAAAAUUAUGUAAUUUAAAAACUUUAACUAAAACCGUAUUAUGGAUAAAAGAUUUUAAAGAUGAAAUUUUGUGGGGAAAAAAUUGUGCUAAAGAGUGGCUUAUAAGAAAAAUAGGCUGGUGUAAAAGAAACACCAUCUAAUUUAGUUAAUUUAUAUGUUGUUCCACAUGACAUUUAAGGUUCGCCCAUUUCACAACAUAUUUCUUUGCUCAAUACUAUAGAGAGUAAUAAUAUAUAUGUCUUUCGGCCAUCGAGAGUGUAACACCCCAAUUUUAUUUAAUUAGUAUUGGUUGACUUAAAGUCUUUUUAUAUAUGAUUUUAUAUUAUUAUGUUGAUUAGGUGAUGUGUAGCUAUUUUUUUAAGUAGUGUUAUUUUAUUAUUUAUUAGAAUAAGUCUUGAUAAUAGAAUAAGAUUAAGUGGUGGGGCUGUUUUGAGAUUUUAGAGAGUUUUGGGGGAAAAAGAGGAAUAAGAUAAAAUAGAUAGAGAAGAUAUAAAUAGGAGAGACCUAGUUUAGAAAAAGUAGUACGUACGAUCAGUUUUUGGAGAAAAGGGAGAAAAAUCAAGAGAAGAGAGAAACACCAAGAGGAGAACUGCGAUUUCAAUUCUAAGGUGAUCAAGAGUAGGUUGUUGUUGUUUGCUGUCGUGGGUGGCUAUCCCUCACUGAGUCUUUUAGGUGCUCUGAUACGUAACGGGAUGUGAUCUUUUGUGGCUAUUUUCUAUUCCUUACGUAUUUGACUAUGAAUUCUUAUGUUUAAGUUGUUAAUUGAAUUUUAUGAGAUGUUUUGAUAAGGCCUAUGUACCAAGACUAUUUAUGAUGUUAAAUUAAAUAUGCUGCAAAGUUUUGAAUUAAUUAUGUUGAAAGAUAAAAUUUUAUUUAUCUCAUUUAUGAUUUUUAGAAGUGUAACAUUCCAUUUAUGUGUUGAAAUACUCUGAUAAUUAUUAUGAAAUUUUUAUGUUGGAAAAACGGGGUGUUACAAAGAGUAUAAUAGCUUUUUUGCCACCGUGUAAGAGAAAACCUAGAUCAAUAUAGAGUUUAGACCUAAUCGACCGGAGUAGGCAAAUCAAGUAUACAAUCUUAGUACAAUUUAGUUUUGUUUUCUACUACCAACAUUAUUCAAUUAUAUCAUUACACAAUCACCUUGAUUUAUUCUUGAGAUAUUGCAAUAUUUUUUGUGUAAAUGAUAGUUUAAAGAAUGAGACAUGCCUAGGAAUUAGUUAUGUAUUUGUCGGCAUGUCUAGCCAUGUAUAUAUUCCAAUUAAUGUGUGUGUCUCUUUAUAUAUAUAUAACUAAUUUUUAGACAUAUAUCAUUCUUUAACCUACCAUUUACAAAAAAAAUUAUUGCAAUAUCUUAAGAAUAAAUCAAGGUGUUUAUGUCAUGAUAUAAUUGAAUAAUGUUGGAACUAAAAAACAAAACUAAAUUGUACUAAGAUCAUAUACCUGAUUCACCUACUCCAGUCGAUUAGCUCUAAACUCUAUGUUGAUCUAGGUUUUCUCUUACACGGUAGCAAACAACCUUUUAUACUCUCGAUGGACGAAAGACAUAUAUAUCAUUACUCUCUAUAGUAUUAAGCAAAUGAAUAUGUUGUAAAAUGAGCCGACCUUGAGUGUCAUGCUGAACAACAUAUAAAAGAGCCAAAUUAGAUGGUGUUUCUUUUACACCACCCUAUUUUUCUUAUAAGCCACUCUUAAGAACAAUUUUCCCCCCACAAAUAUCAUCUUUAUAAUAUUUUAUCCAAAAUACAGUUUUUUUAAUGUUUUAAAAUUACAUAACUCUUAAUCAUUUUCUUAAAAAAUAUUAUUUCUAAAAUACAAGUAUAUAUGUCUUCUGAAACUCAAUUUUCUAACCGAAUGUACUUCGAAAAACUAAUUAAUUGAAAUACACCCUAUGGUCAUUAUUAUAAGUAAAAUCUUACUUUUCAAGUUUCUUGAGUAAUUGAUGUAUCUGGUCUAUAUUAUAGACUGGAUACAUCAUUUAUUCAAUGAAUUAAAAAAGUUGUUUUUUGCUUAUAACAGUGACCUGCGUGAGCAUUUGUAAAAAUAAAUUUUUUCGAAAGGUAUGAAUUCUCCAAUAAGGGAGUCCACAAUCACCCAAAAAAAUACCUAUAACCUGAACUCCUUCAGUUUUUCGUGAUAGUUUUUGACUCCAACAUCUAAAAUGAGUAGACUUUUUGUUUUCACAAUUGCCUAUGAGAAUUUUAUUAAUCACUUGAUAUUUUAUUUAUUCUUAAUCAAAACCAAUCUUACAAAAUCAAUAACUUCCAAAUAAAUCUUUGUCACUGCAAAAUGCACCCUUUAGUAUAUAUGCUUAUUUUCACAAUUUCCUAUAUAUGUUAACACAAAUGACUUAAUGCUCAGAAAACUUUAUUUAUGAAUGUUAAAGAAUGGACAGUGUUUUCCUAGACAAGAGAAUGAGAGUUUUAGAAUGCAAGUGAUUUUGAAAUUGACAAUUGAGAAUGUGAAAGUUGUUAAAAUGAUUAUGAUCUCAAUUGGUUUUAUAGAGGCUGAAAAUGUGUUUAUGAAGCAAUGUUACCUUUUAAAAUGGGUCUCAAAUAAACAGAGACAUAUCUGAAAUGACACCUAUUGAUAAAAUUUGAAUUUUUAAAGGUGGUAACCGGUUAUAGGAGGUGCAACAAUUACACCUUCCAACGUUUAAUAUUUUUCAAAAAUACAAUUCCUGUAACCGGUUACCUAUCAAGGUGAAACCAAUUACACAUGCCCAAAAAUAAUUUUUCACGUGUUUUGGAUGAACUGCUUCAUAUGAACUUAAAACUUUAACUUCAAAAAAUAUUUGAAAAUGUUUUCUGAGCAUUCUAAGUAGUACCAAAGGUUAAGAAUGAUAAAUCACAUGAUAAGUGUCAUACUUACAAAAUGUAUAACAAUAAAGCCUAGACCUUUAACAUCAUUCUUCAACUGAAUCCGCCAUAAAUUUUUCUUCUUUUCUGAUGUGGUGUUGUAAUCAUUAAAACCCAGGCCAAAGUUAGAAAGAAAUUUUCUUUCACACAGACACCCUAGGUGAGUCCUUGAUCAUCAAAUGUUUAAUUCAACGUUAAAUAUAGUAUCACAAUAAGACAAUUCAAUAUGUCUAAAACCAUUAUCUAUUGAACAUUUAUCCUAAAUCAAGAUACAAAAGCUAGGGAUAAUAAUUUAUCAAUCCGUAUAUCUUUAUCUUUAUACUAACAAUUUAGAGUUUUUAGAAAUAGCUUAUUCCAAAAUCCUUUACUCUAAAGAUGUCCAUAUCAUCCUAAUCCUACUUGGCAUUUGUUCCAAAAAUUUCUCCUAAUUGUUAAUACAAGCUUAAUAAUUAUAAUUAUUAUUAAAAACCGUUUUUUAUUUAACAUUAAAUUGUACAUAAAAUGAAUAGUUGGUUACAAUCAAAUAAUUAUUAAUAUAACUAUUGUUUCGAUUAAAAUUUAUAUGUUACAUUAAAAAUUUGUACGUUACAAUCAAAUAAUUAUUAAUAUAAUUAGUAUUCGAUUAACAUUUAUACGGAACAUUAAAAAUUUGGUAGGUUACAAAAUUAUAAUAAAUAACUUGAAUAAAUUAUAUUUUGAAUUUUGGUCCGUUACACUAUGACAGAAACCUACUAAUUAAAAAUUUUAAUUUUAGUAAUUAGUUUUUUUAAGGUUAUAUAAUUAAUUUUUAUUCAUUACAAAAUUAUAUUAAUCCGAUAUUAUUAAAUUUCAAAUCUUAUGAAGUUAAUUUUUUUGUAGGUUACAUGAAAUAUAAUCUAAUUUUUUAAUGUACAUUUUAUAAUAUUAAAGACGUUGAAAAUAUUAAUUUUAAAACAGUCAAAUUAACAAUUAAUAUAUAUAUUGAUCGUUAUAGUACUAUUUUCUAUAUAAAUAGUAGCACUUUUGGAUAUGAGUACACAACAAUCACAAAAUGUAGUUUUUUUUCUUCUUUUUCUGUUCUCUGGUUCUUUGAUAUUUAUAUUCUAAGUUAUUUUUGUAACUUUUUAUUGCAAAGAAAAAGGUUUACAAAACACGACUUCAUCUUUGAUGUUUCGCCAAGAAAACAAUCGUGGACAUUGGUUGUGAGAGUUGUUCGUGCUUGGUUUGUUCAAGAUUACAAAAAUAAAAACUACCAUUUUCCGUGGAGUUGGUUCUAAUGGAUCGAAAGGUACUUUUUUCAUAUUGUUUUUUUUGUUUAAAGUAUAGUGUUUUAAUCUUUGUUAUCUCAUAGAUCACAAAUUGAGCUUGACAGAUAGCAUGUAAAGUGAUACAAAAUGAAAUAUUAGCUCAAAUAACACUCUUCCAUGAUCCUAACACAGUUCUAGAGCAGAGUCAUCAUGAACAUAUAUCAACAACACAUAUGCAACAAAGGGAAUCAAAGUUUAUCAAUAUUUAUGACCUUUGUAUUUUACCUUUAUUUUUAGUGGCCUGAUCUAUCUCGCAUUAGCAUACUUGAAGAGUUUUUUUAACCUUACUCUUAGGAUCACCAUUAAUGAGUUGAAGAACUUGCAUGAAAUUGAGUGGGUUGACAUAGAUCUCCUACUUUUUUCUAACCCACGUUUGGUGGAGGUUUUAACUUGUGGGAUUCAGUUAGGAACUUUAAGAAGGAGGAAGUGUUUGUUUGGUAAAAGGGGAACAAUGAAUUCGAAAUCAAAAUUACAGUAAAGUAUAACAAAAUUAGGUUAGAGUGUUUUAAUUUGUGACUCAUGAUCACUAAUUAAAAAAAAAUGAUGGGAGGAGAUUAAAGAAAGUUGUUUUCUGUCAAUUUUUUCUCACUGGAGAUAAUUUGUGUAACGCCCUAGUUGUUAUAUUUAAUUAUUUUAUUAUGUGGAGUAUAUAUAUAUAUUAUAUAUAUGAUGUUUGGUGAUUUAUGCGGAGUAGAUGUAUAUAUAUAUUUAUAUAUAUGUGAUUUGGGGUGAUUUAUGUGGUGUAUUAUUUUAUUAUAUGGUUUAUUUAAUAAUAAUUAUAAUAAGUAUGAAAUAAUAAUUAUUUUGGUGUCUGGGGAAUUAAUAUAAUUUAUUGGAAUUAAAGGGAGUUAAGUGUAAUAAUGGGGAGUUGAGAAGGCAGUUAAGAUAGAAAGUUAGAGUCAGAAACACUUUUACGUGAAACUGACAGUUUUGGGAGAAAGGAUGGAAGAGCAAGUAGAACUCAGGAAACCAAUUUGCUGUGCAUUUCUUUCUGCAAUUCUAAGGUAAGGGUGAGGUUUACUUCAAUAGUGUAGAUUUUAGAUUCUGAUUUUGUGUUUAACAGAGUUUUGGUGAGAAUUGGGGAAAUUGGGUUUUUAUGAUGAGAUGAUGAAUUUGAAGUUGUAAGUGUGAAUUUGGUGUUAGAAUUAGGUUCCAAGUGCAUACAGAAAGUUAAUUUGUAUCUGUAAACUGAUUUGGGGAGUGAUUGGAAGAAAAAUGGGAUUUUGGGGAAAAACCAGUUUUCUGCCCGUACUGAUGUUCAUCGCUCGCCUCGCGAGCAUUCAUGUCUCGCCUCGCGAGUGAACAACAUCAUCACUCGCCUCGCGAGCAGUCCAACUCGCCAUGGCGAGUAGCCCAGAUAAAAUUGUGAUUUUUGAAAAGUUGUUAUAAGAUGUUUUGGGGAUGGUUUAAAGUACCUAGAUGAUAAUAAAGAUGAAUGGUGGAAGUUUUAGGUUAAAAAGAUGAUUAGGGAACAUAGAAAUGAGUUCUGAGUGUGAAAAUGGUAUUUUUUCCGAGAGCACCUGAUUUCCACUCGCCUCGAGUUCGCCCUUGAACUCGCCAUGGCGAGCUAGUGUUUUUGUGAACUCGCCAUGGCGAGCAGAUGUGCUCGCGAGGCGAGUUGCACAACUCCUGAGUGUUGACUUGCUUGCAUGAUAGUGGUGGUUGAAUGUUGUUGUAUUUGGGCAUGGUUAUAUAUAGUUAUGCAUUAUUUUGGUUGUUUGAAUUGCUGGAUUGAUGAUUAUUGAUGAUGGUUGAAUGUAUGUUAUUUAUUGAAUCAUACAUAUUAUUAUAGUGGAGUCACAUGGAGUUGCAUUGCAUGGUCAGUUGUAUGUAGAUAUACACAAGUAGGUCCAUUGCAUAUGCAUAAAACAGCGGUGAGGGCUUUGGUCCUGGAGUACUAGUUGCUCAACAGCGGUGAGGGCUUCGGUCCUGAUGAAUGCUUUAACCAUUCAAAAGCAGUGAGGGCUUCGGUCCUGUUUGGUACCACAUGCAUAUUGCAUUUCAUUAAGAAGUCUAAGAUGGUGUCUUAGCAGUGGUCAUGUCAUUUGCAUGAGUCUUGGUUGUUGAUUUCAGUUAUAUCUGAUGGAUGGUGUUGGUGUUGAAUAUGCAUUUAUAUAUAUAUAUAUAUAUAUAUAUUCAUUGUGAUCAUGGUAUAUUGUUGAUGUUGUUGUUGCUUGUGACUUAUACAUAUAUAUGUUUACAAGAUAAUGUGUUGUUGAUUAGGGUGUUAGAUUCAAUUGAUGAUUUUAAUAUCUAUAUUUAUUGUUGUGAAUCUCACCCCUUCUGCUUGAAAAUGUUGCCCUUCCUAUGGGUAACUUGCAGGUGAUCUUGAGUAGUAGGUGGUGGCUCAAAGUCGUGUCUAGGGCUCCGAUACGUGGGAUGGGAUUUAUCAUUUUUAUUAUUGUUGCUUUUCCUUUCCAUGUAUCAAAUUUUGGAACUUGUGGUGUGGAGCCUUUUGUUGUCUUUGAACUAUGAUGUUGAAUUAUGUUAAGGCCUUUAAUGCCAUAGACUACUGUUGGAUGUUCAUGAGGUUAUGGAUUUUGAAAACUAUUCCGCUGCUAUGUUUUCAUAUAUAAUAAGUUGAUUUGAUUAAAUAGUUUUAUUUUCUAUUUAAGAAUUUUGAAAUGACGUGUAGCAUGCCCGUUGUGGAAUUACUCUGAUGUAUAUUUGCUAUUUAAUUGCUUUUGGUUAACGGGGUGUUACAAUUUGCUUCCGAGAGAAAUACUCUCUCCAAUCUUAAAUAUAAAAAUUAAAUAAUUUUUUUUAUCUUAAAUUAAAACAAAUAUAACUUACUUUGACUCUAUUUAAUGUUAUUUGUCCUAAUAUACAUUUUAAUUCAUGUAAGUUUCAUUUUAAUAUUUUUUUAUUCUCAUGAAACACGUUCCAAUAUAUAUAUUACUUUUCAUAUUUUUUUUUAUCAAAUCAAGAAAACUAAUUCGAGAGUAUUGUGAUUAAAUAAAAAAGUAAUAAUUUUAUUCAUACUGGUAGAUUAAAACAGAGGUAAUCAUACCUGUUUAAUAUAUUGAAUGACUGAGAAAGCAAAGUUAAUUUGAACUCUUAUUAAUUAGAUAUAUUUUUAAGAAUAUAUUAAUUAUUUAUAGUGUUUUUAUAUUUUAAGUAUAUUUGUACUUUUGCCCACUAUUUUAUGACUCAUAAAAAUAUUUCUUUUAAGCAAAUGGGAUGAAGAUAGAUCUGCGACACCCUAAUUAUAUUAAAAUAUUUUUGUUUUUAAAAAAGAAGGCUAGGGGACAUAGUAACCCAGUUAAACCAAAAAGGUAACCAGCUAUAUGAUAAUACAAUACAUGACAAUCCAAUGGGUAAAUAAACAAAUUCGAAUUCAUAACUAGACUCACACAUCAUGUUGCACAAUCCAGUGAACCCGCAUUACGGGUACAAAACCAAUGUGUAAAAGAAAUGUGAUGUGUGAACUGACGAGUCUCGAAUCCCAAUUUUGAAGCCGGUAAGAAACUGAUCGCCAACACGAAAACAAAUCCACACGCCACCAACCCACUGCAUCUAACAUGACAACAACCAGCUUCAAAGGCCAUUUCUAGCCAUACAGAUCAUUGUUGACAAAGACGACAACACCCCCAUUUUCGGUGAGACCAUAUAUGAAAAAACGCAACUUCGAAGCAAUGUCGAGCUCAUAAUCAGAAUCAGACCGUGAAGGGAAAAUUCAACCACGAUUUGUAGGAUAACACAAAACCCGAUGGCAAUGGCGGCGAAAAACCCAACCACCGCAAAACAGAGGAGAUUCACGGCGGUUUCAAUAAACCAAGAAGAAAAACUUCAUCCGCAAAACAUGAGACAACCGCAUCAGACUAUCACUGUCUAGAAAUUAGAUUUGAGAGUAACAAUCCAUAGCAGGUGCUGACUGGUUUGAUGGAACCGAUCCUAAAAAAGGGGUUCUAGGAGGUGGUCAAAGAAUCACACCACAACCUCUUUGAUGCGUGAGGUUACAUUGUGAAGGGAAUGUUUGGAUUUGGUAGGAUGAGCAAAGAAGGAGGGUGGAGGAGAAGGAAGGCGGCUCUCACAAAAAUAGUUAUAUCUUUUUAAAAUUUAACUUUUUUUGUCCUAAUAAACGGUGAUUUAUUUUUUCAAUUUUAAAUAUGAGGAUAGAGUACCGCAUAAUGUCAAAAUUUUGAAAUGAAAUUAAACUAAAAAAAUUAAAUAAUAUCUGAAAACCUAAUUAUGUGUAAACUCUGUUAAUUUUUUUAAAUAAAAUGAAUCCCGUGCUUGGCACGGGAAGUUACACUAGUAAAAAACAUAGCAAAGAAGGAUAACUGAAUAAUACUUUCAUAAAAUAGUACUCUACAAUUUUAUGUUUCAAGUAGAUCUGGAGAAGUUCAUAAACUGACAUAAUCUAAAAAAUCAUGCUACUCAUAAUCAAAAGAGACAUGACAACAAGAUUAAGAAAUUACACAUGAAUACACGAUGACAAAUUUGCGUCAAUGUUGUUUUCAAGUUUAAUAUUCAACCUUGACCUCAUAGAAAUCGAGUUUCUCACGUUUCUACAAAACAUUUUUCGACCCUUGGUUAUGAAGUUGUCGCUCCUUUAUAUUGAAAAACAAAAUAUAAUUUUUUGAAUGCCAUAAGAAGUCACUUGAUAGAUGUUGUAAAAAUCAUAGCACGACUACAGACUUGUCUGGUUAGUACGAAUUCAAUAUGUUUUAGAGCUCUUCAAAGUGACUUAUGAGUAAUAUGACAAUUUCUUCAACUUGUUCCUCAACUGAACUAAAACAUUCCUAAAAUUGACUCAAAUGACUCCAAAAAGACACAAAACUUUGAUAUAAUUUGGAGUCAUCAAUACAUUUUGAAUGUACUUAAUGUUAAAACACUUUCAUAAAGCAAAUUCUAUGGUACAUUCAAUAAAUUUGGGUGUAUCGGUACACCAAUUCAUUAAAUUAAUAAUAAAUUAGUUGUUUUUUUAAGAAAAAUAAUUAUUUUCUACCAUUGACAACUAUAAUAAUUAAAUUUUAUUUACCAAAAGCUUCGACGAAAUAAAAUUUAAUUUUUACAAAUUUUUACUACUCAUAACAAUGAAUAUUGAUUAUUUUUUAUGACAAAAUGUAAAUUUUUUAAUAUCAUCCUUAUAAACAAUGAAAUGAUGUUUUUUCUUAUGAUAUGACGUUUUCUAAAAUAUAAAUAUUGACAAAUAACUUUUUAUUUCAUAAAAAUGAUUGUUAAUUUAUAAGUUUUGUGAAACAAGAGUACCGGUACACUAAAAUUUCUUAGUGUACCGUAGAAGUUCCCCUUUCAUAAACCAUUUUCAAAAUAAUUGAAAACGACUAAAAAAUUUCUCCCUGUUAUUUUUAUGAAUUUUUUUUUCCAUAUUUUCUCUGUUUUUACAAUAUUCUUCCAAAAAGUAUUCAAUUAUUUUUCUCAAAAUUAAACCAAAAUAUAACUUUUAACAUAAAAUCCUCCCCACGGCUAAAUCAAUGCAAAAAGUUCCAAUAUUCUCGAAACGCAAUGAAACUAAGUUUUCUUCAACAUCACAACACUUAAUCAUUUUUAUUCUCAAAAUAAUUUUAAAUCUCAAUAGACAUAAAGUUGUAAGAUUAUCAUUUAACAGAAAACUUUUGUUUACCUACAAUUUAAACCAUAUACCUUUUUUUUUUUUUUUAAAAAUAAAAUAAAAUAAAAUUCUAACUCAAUGAAUUUGUAUCCAAAUAGCAUGAACCAUAUGUCCAUUUCGAAAGUUUCGACAAGACAAACUCACACUAGUCAUCUGAGAUCCACAAGGAAUAGUAAGGAAAAUGACUAUUUUUCCCUUAAAAAGUUCUGCCAUAAAUAAAAUAUCAUCAACAUGAUUUCUUUAAAAAAUACUCUAUCAAAAAACAAUAAAUCUAUUACCCAAAAGUUCAUUCAAGCCAAGAAAAUGAUUUUUUUUUUAUUUUUAUACUUCAUUAAAACUUAAACAUUUUACAAGAAAUCAAUUUGUUCAAAAUCAAAUUUUUCUUUGAGAUCUAAAAUCAAUUUAUUUUUUUUAUACUUCAUUAAAACUUAAAAAGUGCAAUGAGUUCUGAGUUCGUUUUCUCUGCUCUGAGUGACCAAAACCUUCAAGCCACCAAUAAACCACCCGAUCCUUACAAGCCAUCUUCCCCAAAGAUCUCUUUCCGAGACAAACUCCUAGGACCAUCUCAAGAACCAAUGCUACGUGAAAAGGAAGACAUGAUCGAGAAAAAUCUUGUUCGCAUUGAACAUGAGAAUGGUAACCGACUCCUUCCUAAAGUUUACCUUGAACCAUCUGUCUUCCAAGAAUUAUGCACGCCAUGGAAGGACGCUAUUGUUGUCAAGUUGCUGGGGAAAAACCUCGGCUACCAUACCAUGAAAGAAAGGCUACAACGAACAUGGAAACCACAAGGGGGUUUCGAAAUCAUGGACAACGAUAACGGUUUCUACAUGGUGAAAUUUGAUCAAGCGGCAAACAAAGAGAAAGUCAUCACGGGAGGUCCUUGGUUAAUAUUUGAUCACUGCCUUGCAGUCACACACUGGUCACCUGAAUUUGCAUCUCCAAACACCAAAGUUGACAAAACAAUUGUUUGGGUGAGAUUCCCAGGUCUGAACUUAGUAUACUAUGAUGAGAGUUUCUUGCUAGCCAUGGCUUCUGCUCUUGGCCGCCCCAUCAAGGUCGACACAAACACCCUGAAAAUUGAAAGAGGUAAGUUUGCCAGAGUCUGUGUGGAAAUUGAUCUAACUAUGCCGGUGGUAGGGAAAAUUUGGGUCAACGGACAUUGGUACAAAGUUCAGUACGAGAGUCUCCACCUAAUUUGCACCAACUGCGGAUGCUAUGGUCACUUGGGAAGAAACUGCUCAUCAACACGCCACCUCCAGCCGUCCACCUCCAGCGAACCAACACCUUCAGCCGUCCAUCAACCAGCCGUUGUUAGCCAACAAACUCGGUCAACACCCACCUCCGAUGAGCAUUUAAUUCAAAACGUCCAAAAAGGUACAACCGUUACUAUUUCGUCUAAGGAUUCAUUACCAAAUGAUGACCAAUUAAAUGCCAUUGACGGAGAUAAUCAUGUGCUACAUGGGGAAUGGUCACUUGUCACUAGAAAAAAGAAACCAACAAAAAACAUCAUCAUAAAUCCCCAAAAAACCGUUACAACAAAAAAUAACAGGUUCAAUGCCCUUAAUCAUCUAACAACUAGAAACAAAACUGGCCUACCCCUUCCAAAUAACCAGUCACGCCCCAUUAUUGUCCAGAGAUGCAUCCUUCAAGUGCCCAAAGACACGAAACAUCGUAGACAUGACACCAUGGCCACUGAUGAACCAGUCUUUGACUUCUCCCAAGUCAACCCUUUAGUGUUGUCGCCCCCACACAGCCACAAGACCACACCUGAACCGCACGUGCCAAAAACAACCCAACAGUUACCAACUAAACAAACUACCACAAAUGAAGUUCAAGAAAAUGAUCCCACCUUAGUCAAUAAUCCAACACCUGAACCCGACCCUAAUUCAAGUUUCAUGCUCGCCACCCCCAUUCCAAAUGACCAAGAAGCUAACCACCCCACAAAAGACCAAAUUGGUGAAACUAGCUAUCAUAAGGAUGAUGUUCAUCAGAACCUGGAUACUCAAGAAACUCAAGAUGAGGAAAUGGUCACGUAGCACCUUUCUUCUCUUGUUCUUUUCUGAUUACGUUGUUAUGGAAGCUCUCCUUGAUAUCACCAUCCUCUCUUGGAAUAUUAGAGGGGCUCAAAAUAACAAUGGAAGAAGAAACCUAAAAGAAUUGAUGAGAAAACACAACCCAACCUUCAUAGCAAUUUAUGAAACUCAUGUCCCUUAUCAUAGACUAUCCACCUUCUGGGCUAACACUGAUUAUACCCCCGUUCACAUCAUAGAAGCUAAUGGACAUUCCGGAGGUAUAUGGCUUCUAAAACACUCAGCUACAAACAUCUUAACAACUAUCACUAACUCCAACCCCCACUCCAUUUCCUUCACUAUCAACCGCGGCCAUGCUUCCUCUUUUUGCACUUGCAUCUAUGCAAGCCCUAACCCAACUCAACACCCCAUCCUUUGGAAUCAUUUAAUUAACCUCAACCACUCCAUUGAUGCGCCCUGGAUGAUCAUAGGAGAUUUCAACGAAACUCUCCUACCUAGUGAGCAAAGAGGUGGCGUCUUCCACCAUAGCCGAGCUGCUUCAUUCUCAAACUUCAUGAAUUCUUGCAACCUCCUUGAUCUCACAACCACCGGUGGAAAGUUUACUUGGCAUAGAAACAGUAACGGCAUCCGCAUUCUCUCCAAAAAGCUUGAUAGAGGAUUGGCUAAUGUUAACUGGCGCUUGAACUUCCCGGAAGCCUUCGUCGAGGUUCUUUGUAGGCUCCAUUCCGACCACAAUCCUCUUCUCCUACGUUUUGGAGGCCUUCCUUUAUCUAGAGGUGAGCGGCCUUUUCGCUUUGAGGCAGCUUGGAUCGAUCAUGGUGAAUACGAGAGCUUGGUAAAAAAUUCUUGGCAACCACGCACCCAUAACAUCAUCUCGGCCUUGAAUAAUGUCAAAGAGAAUUCCGUCAACUUCAAUCAUGAAAUCUUUGGAAACAUCUUCCAAAGGAAAAAGCAUAUUGAAAACCGACUCAAAGGAAUUCAAAAUUAUCUUGAAAGGGUUGAUUCCAUCCAGCACUCCCACCUUGAGAAAGAACUCCAAAAGGAAUAUAAUCAUAUUCUAUUCCAAGAAGAAAUGCUUUGGUAUCAAAAAUCAAGAGAAAAAUGGGUGAAAUUUGGAGAUAAAAACACUGCUUUCUUCCACACUCAAACCAUAGUUAGAAGAAAGAGAAAUCGAGUACAUAGACUUCAGCUCCCCUGUGGUACUUGGUCUUCCGAUAGUGAUACUCUCCAACAAGAAGCACAAAAUUACUUCAAGCUCUUCUUCACGGCUAGCCAAGACAAUCGUGACCGAACUUUCACUGAAGGUACCCACCUUUCCAUUACUGAAGAGGGGAGAAAUUCCCUAACCGCCCCAAUCACCAAAAAUGAAGUUUAUGCUGCCCUUAACUCCAUGAAACCCUACAAAGCCCCUGGUCCGGAUGGUUUCCAUUGCAUCUUCUUCAAGCAGUACUGGCACAUUGUUGGCAAUGACAUUUACCACAUGGUCCAAACCGCUUUCCAAACAGGUCACUUUGAUCCAGAGAUUUCAAACACUCUCAUUGCACUAAUCCCAAAAAUUGACCCACCCACCACUUACAAAGACUUCAGACCUAUUACCCUUUGUAAUAUUACUUACAAAAUUAUUACAAAGGUCCUGGUUCACAGGCUUCGGCCUAUUCUUACUAACAUUAUUGGUCCCUAUCAAAGCAGCUUUCUGCCUGGUAGGGGCACUGCAGAUAACUCUAUUGUUUUGCAGGAAAUUAUUCAUUUCAUGAAACACUCUAAAAGGAAGAAGGGUUACGUAGCUUACAAGCUUGACUUGGAGAAAGCUUUCGACAACGUCAACUGGGAUUUUCUAAGCAACUGCCUCCAUGAUUUUGGAUUUCCGAACAUCACCAUCAAGCUCAUCAUGCAUUGCGUAGCUUCUCCUAGUUACUCUAUACUUUGGAACGGGAAAGGGUUGCCGCCUUUCGAGCCUUCUCAUGGCCUGCGACAAGGUGAUCCGUUGUCCCCUUAUCUUUUCAUCCUUUGCAUGGAAAAGCUUUCAGCUGCUAUCAACUCAGCAGUCGCCCAAGGAAGAUGGGCACCCAUCCAAAUCACCCCUACGGGGCCGCAUUUAUCCCAUCUCCUAUUUGCAGAUGAUGUCCUUCUUUUUUCUAAGGCUAAGACCUCUCAGGUUCAUCUUAUUCAUGAUUUGUUUGAAAGAUUCAGUCAAGCCUCGGGGCUAAGAAUCAACAUUGCUAAAUCAAGGGCAUUUUACUCGUCAGGCACUCCUCAUGGUAAAAUCACUAGCCUCACUACAAUAUCCGGAAUCCAAAGCACAUCCUCACUUGGCAAGUAUUUGGGUUUCCCUAUGCUCCAUGGACGUCCUAAGAAGAGUGAUUUCAACUUCAUCAUUGAAAAAAUGAAAUCGCGCUUGGCAACUUGGAAGAAUAGGCUUCUAAAUAAAACAGGUAGACUUACUUUAGCAACAUCUGUUUUAUCCUCCAUACCCACCUACUAUAUGCAGAUUAAUUGGCUUCCUCAGAGUAUUUGUGAUAGUAUUGAUCAGACAACCAGAAAUUUCUUUUGGAAAGACACUAACAACAAAGGAGUUAACUUGGUAAAUUGGAAGAAAUUAACUACCCCAAAACAAUCUGGAGGUUUGAGAAUCAGGAGAGCUAGAGAAGCCAACACUUGUCUCCUUGGAAAACUUGUAUGGGACAUGGUUCAAUCAACAAACAAAUUAUGGGUAAACAUUCUUUCCAACAAAUAUACCACAGGGUCAAACAUCCUUCAAGCCACCUGCAGUAGCAACAGUUCACCCACUUGGUCUUCCAUCAUCAAAGCAAAAAAUGUCCUCCGUAAUGGUUAUCUAUGGCGCGCUGGUUCAGGUACCUCCUCCUUUUGGUUCCAUAAUUGGAGCCCCCAUGGACUGAUUGGCUCACACGUUCCCAUCAUUGACAUCCACGAUAUUCAACUCACGGUUAAAGAUGUUUUCACACAUAACGGUCAACACACUCAUGCUCUCUACACUAAUCUGCCUCCAGCAAUUGCAUAUUACAUUAAUAACACCAACUUCAGAUUCAAUGAAAGAAUAGAAGAUACCAUCAUAUGGAGCCACAAUAUCAACGGGGUAUACACAGCAAACUGCGGCUAUGCUUGGCUACUUCGCAACUCGGAUACUGACACCAAUCCGCUUUCUACCCACUCUUGGUCUUGGAUAUGGAAGCUAAAGUCCCCUGAAAAAUUCAAACUGUUCAUUUGGUUAGCUUGCCAUAACGCCAUCCCGACUAUGUCUCUUCUCGAACACCGUCAUAUGGCCCCCUCUUCCACCUGUUCCAGAUGUGGAGAAGACGAAGAAACCAUUAUGCAUUGCCUUCGGGAUUGUCGUUUCUCCUCCAUUAUUUGGCACCGGCUCGGUUUCACGGAUACCGCUUUUUUCAACGAAGCUUUUCCAUCAAGCUGGAUCAAACAACACGCUACCGGUAACAACUCUUCCCUUUUCCUUUCCGGUCUCUGGUGGUCCUGGCGAAACCGCAAUUUAAUGUGCCUUAGCAAUGAGUCUUGGUCUACCCAUCGGAUCAUGUUGAACAUCCACAACUCAAUCUCUGCUAUUAAUGCUUCAUAUCAAGCCGCAACGGCCCAGUCCUCACAAACUCUGGUUCGUUGGAACAAUAGCAAUUUCUCUGGUGUCGUGUUAAAUGUGGAUGGCAGCUGCUUGGGAGCUCCAAUCCGAGCCGGUUACGGAGGUAUUUUACGAAACUCAGCUGGUUUUUUCCUUCAAGGUUUCUCCGGUUUUAUUGAAGCAACAACGGACAUUUUGUUCGCUGAACUUACGGCAAUUCACAAAGGGUUACUCAUGGCAGCCGAAAAUGGAAUUGAAGAGAUGAUCUGUUACACAGAUUCGCUGCUUUCAGUCAAGCUCCUCACAAACAGUAGCUCCCGCUUCCAUGCUUAUGCUGUUUUAAUUCAAGACUUGCUAUUAUCAACAAACUUCUCCAUACAACAUUGUCAUAGAGAAGGAAACCAAUGUGCAGAUUUCAUGGCAAAGCUUGAUGCAAUUUCAAACGAAGAGUUUGCAAGACAUACAACCCCACCUUAUGAUCUCAUUCCUUUGAUUAGAUUAGACGCCAUGGGAACUGCGUUUCCUAGAGCUUAGGCGUGUUUUUACCUUUUUCUUUCCUAUCUUGUUUUUUCUUUUCUUAGCUUUGUAACCAAAAAAAAAAAAUGUCAUGAACCAUGGAUCUAAAAUUCUAACCAAUAUAAUUUAAAAAAAUCACCAUCUAUAAAGGUUGCAGGCCUAUUGUCCAUUACCAAAAACAAAGCAAGGAAUUUUUUUUUCUUGCAUUAAUAAUUUAUGCUCAUGAAACAUAAUAUCAUAGUGAUUCAAAAUUCAAGACAAAAUAAAAUCUUUCAUGAAAAAAACAUCUUUAAGUUAUAAAAAAUUGUAUUUUCCAAAGUUGUCAAAAGUAAAACUUUUCCUGAGAUUCAUCCACUAGAGUGAUGUAUCAUAGUGACUCCCUCAUAUAGGCCUAUGUUCGGCCAAGGGAUAUCUAAGGGAAAAUAAAUUUUCUCUGUCAUCAACAUUUACAUGGUAAUAGAGAGAAGAAGAAAUCUAGGAGGGUUUAUUCACAAACCAUUGAAUGAUUUAGCUCUUAAAUUUUUUUUUAACUUGGUCAUUAACGUCUACAAGAAUUUCUGUUAAUCAUAGCAGUUCUACGGUUAGCAGACAAUUUACAAGCACAGAAUAAAUAUUUCACAAAAGAUAUCAUGUUUUGCAUACAUCAUAAAAAUCAUAUUCGGAAAUAACACGUCAUAAAUAUUAGGCUUAAUUGCACUUUUGGAACCCUACCUUUCCAAAAGUUGCGGUUAUGAACCCCUAACUAAUUUAAAUACAAAAUAGCCCCCUAUGUUUUGGACCCCCAAGGCAAAAAAAAAAAAAAAUUUACAUGUGGCACCUCACUUAGGGUGCCACGUCAGCGUUGACCGAGUCAACAAUGGACCGGGGGUCCAAAACUGUCAAAGAAUCAAAACAUAGGGGGUUGUUUUGUAUUUAAAUUAGUUAGGGAUCCAUAACCGUAAUUUUGGAAAGAUAUGGGUCCAAAAGUGCAAUUAAGCCUAAAUAUUAAACAAGUAGAAACUUAGGUUCCCAACAAUUUCUAGGCUUGGCAGUCUAAAAAUCUUAAUACUAACUAGGGCUAAACUAUGGUUCAAAUAAAUAUAGGAAAGAAUAGGUAUCUCAGUCUUUUACAUAAAAGAAGAAGGACAUAAAACUUUUUCUUUAAAGAUUAGAGAUAUAUGAACAACCAUUUUAGACAACUUUUGAUACAACUUCUUUUUUCUCACUUUUUAUUGAUCAAAAAUAAUGGAGAGAGAAAAAGGAAGAGAGAGAAUAAAAACAUAACGUGAGUAUGAGAGAGAAAGUUGUCUAAAAAGUUGUCACAAAUUGGAUGUACAAAUAUCAUUUCUCAAUAAAUUUCACAGAAACUCUUUAGCUACAAAAGAGAGCAUGCAAAUAAAUUUAUACACAUAUCUAAAUAUAUUUUGAUAAGGGUGCACAUAAUUUCACAUACAAGUUAAGCUAAUUUUCUAAUCAUAGCAUAAUUAACACCACCAACAAUAAAAUAAAUUGGAAUAAAUACGCAUGCAUGCAUGCAUCAAUGUUGUAAACUUUAUUUGAGAAACAAAAACAAAAUUACUUCAAAAAUUAGUGUGCGAGAGGCCUUAUCUCAUCCUCACGCCAAAUAUCCUCAAAAACCCCAAAUGGUCCUCUUACUGGAGCAUUCCCAUUUCUGCACCUGAGGCACCUUCUUCUAUUACAAAACAUAAGCUUUUGUAGAUUGGAGAGACUCAAAUGGUUUCGCAAAUCACGAACGGUGUAUAGUUUAACUACACCUUCUACUCGAUCCUAGAUAAAACUGUGGCAAAUAUUUACCACCUCCAAUUUUUCAAAGCUGUUGAGUAUGUUGCAUAAACCUCUCAGGUUCAGGUUCGCCAUUAUCUUUCGAACACUCAAGAGCUUCAAAUUUGGAGUGUAUUGAACCAUAAGAUCUGCUUCACUUAUGCCGCUAGUAAAUUUCAGUUCAUAGAUCUUCAUGUAGUACUUACUAAUGGCAAUAAAAAUGCAACUCGGCUUGACCAUGGCGGUUAUGGUGAUGGAUUAAAGGCCUUCCCAUGAUUUCAUUGCAAUAUCUACUGCAUUCUUGGACUCAGAAAUAUGUGAUCAUGACAUCCAUGAGACGAUAUAGUGCCUCUUGAGCUUUAUAUUAAGAACUCAUAUUUUCACUACAAGAAAAUAUGUGAUCUGCUACGCCCAUUAUCACAGCUAAUUCACAGCUAAUUCCUAGCAAACGAGUUUAGCUAGUGAUAUACUACAUAAUACCUAUUGAUUCGGCCGAAGCAUGGAUUGAGAGACAAAUUUGCUAGGGAAGUAUAUCUUAGUAAAUCCGUAAUAAAAAGAAUUAAAUUCCUAGCAAAUAUAUACUUAAUCUAUCGAAAAUAAGUAUUCAAAAGGUAUUUUCCAUAGCAACAUAACUAUGACAUAUCUUAGCAAUUUCGCAAUAAAUCCGUAGCAACAUAACUAAGACUUGUCAUAGCAAAUUUGCAACAAUUCCAUAGCGACAUUACUAAAACUUAUCGUAGCAAAUCCAAAACAAAUCUAUAGCUAUAAUUUAACUAAUUUGCAACUAGAAUGUAGCAAUUUGGAAGUUUUCGUCCAAUUAUUUUAUUUUUUCUGUUUUUUUAAUUACCAUAUUAAUUUAACUAAUUUAUUACUAAAUAAUCAUGUAUAUACAUAUGUAAAUAUAACAAGUCAAAUUUGCUGAAAAUGCAAAGCUAAAAUAUCACCCUGAUUUUCAUAAGGGUUUGGGGUCAACUCCGUAUUUCCAAGUUGUCGACAUUUAAAUGUGUUAAUACAACAACUAAUUUUUUUUUUUUUUUUUGUAGGAAUACAACAACUAAGCUAUAUAACAAAAAGAAAAACGUAAAAGUGUUUUGUCAUUUCUCUAUAUCUAUAUGUUCGAGACUUUGAGAACGAAAAAUAUUCUAUCUUAACAUGUUUUUAAUUUGACUUAAGUAUAUAAUAUGUGAAAGAGAAAUGCUAACUUGUGUCCCAAGGGCACAAGUUUACAUGAUCCUAUGUAAAAUAUUAACCAAAUAAUAUAACAUGUGUGACCGACUUGAAUAUAAGAGUAUAUAAUACGUAAAAUAUUAACAGAAAAAAUAUAACAUGUGUGACCGAGUUGAAAAUAAGAGUAAUGAUUUUACUUAGUCUUACUCAAAUUGAUCGAGCAGAAGUCUUAGUUUUAUAAUUAGUGAAAAAAAACUUAGUUUUAUAAUUCACGUUUGCACCAUAUAGUUUCAAUUAUUCAUAGGGUGAACACUGCUAGAAAAAGUAAAAUUAGCGAGGGAAAUUAGUGACGGAAAAAUGAAAUUCCUCACAAAUUUCAUGGCCGUAAAAUUUAGUGACGGAAUUAGAGAAUGAUUUCACGUUUUCUCUCACAAAAUUUCUCUCACUAAUUUUUGUUUUUUUAGUAGUGAAAUUACACUGACCUCCCCUGAGGUUUCCUUAAAUAACACAAACACCCUCUCUAGUUUUAUAAUAGGGAAAAUGCUAAAAGUUACGAAUGAUUUGUGCACGAAACCACACGAACAUCAUUGCAACUUACAUUUUACAUUCUGUUUCUCAUCAAUUCUUCCAAUGAUGAGAGAUAAUUCAUAAGUAACAUGAUAGAAAAUAAUCUUUGAUCAAUAACCACUGAAAAAAUCAAAUCCAUAAUGUGGAAAUACAUGGUUAGCUGAUCCAUUUAUUGAAGAGUGAAAUCAAAAGUUAGUUUAAAUUGUUUGGGAAAAAAACAAUUACUAAUAUGGUGAACUCAAGCAAAUUAUAAUGAUUUCUCAUGUAACUGAAUUUAUAUGGUGAAAUUUUAUUACUACAAGGUAGCAACCAUGCGUGGAACAGUUGUUUUCCUGGCGUUCGUGCAUUUCGUGCUGCAACAUUUUCGUAACAUAUAGCAUUACUCUUAUAAUAGACAGAUACAUCCCUUUACAACUUAACACAAACACCCCCUCUAGUUUCCUUAAAUAACACAAACAUCGUUACUCAUCCGUUAAAAGUAAAGUCACUGCUACUUUUCGAUUUAACACUAACCUCCCUAGAGGUUUCCUUAAAUAACACAAACACCGUUACUCAUCCGUUAAAUAACACUAACCUCCCCUGAGGUUUUCUUAAAUAACACAAACACCCCCUCUAGUUUUAUAAUAGACAUUAACCUCCUCCAAAGUUUCAUAAUUAAACAGAUACAUCCCUUUACAACUUAACACUGUUACUCAUCCGUUAUGUGAGAGUUAACUUAAAAUCAGAUUUCUGCAGAAUCGUGGCACGAUGGCAAGGCAACGUGGCACGGUGGAGGUUUCAGUUUUUUGAGGCAUGGCACUGGAAAAAUCAGAUUUAAGCGAAACUUUUACUAUAAAUAUAGACCUUGUAUUAGAGCAAAUUUUGAGAUAGAGGGAGAUGAAACAAGGGUUUAGAAAGGCAACAACAAAACUAGGGUUUGUAUAGAGUUUGUCUCUUCGGAACAAACACUAAGUUUUGAGGGUUGAUUCACCUUGGGAAACACUAUUAGGAUUGAGUCUCUUGGUCACGGGAAGAGACUAGGACUUUGGGUAGAAUUAGGCGGGAGACUUAUUCUUGUAACCCAUUGAUUUCUCUUUGUAACGAUUCUCAUCAUAUAGUGGAUCGGAGGGUUGUUCUCUCCCCCACACUAGAUCAAUUUGGACCGAACUGGGUCAACAAAUUCUUUUUUGUUCUUCUCUUCUUUGUGUUCUUCUCGCCGUUGUUUUCUACUUUUGGCUUGUAUUUAAUUGUUCCAUACACCUUGAUUUUGGUUACUUGAUUAUCUCUUGCUCCACACAUCAAGUUGUUAUUGGUGUGAUUUUCAUCGAAUUCGCAACAAUUGGCACCCACCGUGGGGCAAGGGUCAAAGGAUAAUCAAGUAUCAUGGGUUCAAAGUGGGAUAUUGAGAAUUUUACCGGAGAUAACUGUAACACCCCGUUACCCAAAAGUAAUUAAAUAACAGAUAUUAAUCAGAGUUAAACACCAAUCGGGUAUGCUACAUUGCAAAUUCAAAAUUCCUUAAAUAGAAAAUAAAACUAUUCAAUUCAACAUGUUUAAUAACUUCAAAAUCAUGCAGCGGAAAGUUUGCAUUUCAAUAACAACAACAAACUGUUUAAGUCUCCAAUGACAUCUUGGCAUUAAGCCUAAUCAACAAUAAGUCAACCAACAAGGGCCACAUCAACAAGUUCCAAAAUUUGAUACAUGGAAAGGAAAACAACAAUACUAUAAUAUAAUAAUUCCCAUCCCACGUAUCAGAGCCCUAGACACGACUCUUGAGCCACCGCCGACUGCUCAGGAUCACCUGCAAGUUACCCAUAGGAAGGGCAACAUUUUCAAGCAGAAGGGGUGAGAUUCACAACAAAUAAUAUAGAUAUCAAAAUCUUCAAUUGAAUCUAACACCCUAACAUCAAAUACAUCAUCAUGCAAGUAUAACCAUAUAAUUUACAAGCAACAACAACCAUCAUCAAAAUCCACACAUCACAAUAUGUAUAUAAAUAUUUACAUAUAUUCAUCAAUAACAUCAACAACAUCAAGUGGCGUCUACAACCAACAAAUAAGAAUCAUGCAAUGGACAUGACAACACUGCUAAGACAACACCUUAGACUUCUCAAUAGAUGCAAAUAUGCAUGUGGUACCAAACAGGACCGAAGCCCUCACCGCUUUUGAAUGGUUAAAGCAUUCAUCAGGAUCGAAGCCCUCACCGCUUUUGAGCAACUAGUACUCCAGGACAUGAGUCAUCUCCGCUGUUUUAUGCAUAUGCAAUGGACCUACUUGUGUAUAUCUACAUACAACUGACCAUGCAAUGCAAACUCCAUGUAACACCACUUAAACAACAUGUAUGAUUCAAUAAUUAGCAUACAUUUUAGUCAUCAUCAGUAAUCAUCAAUUCAACAAUUCAAUCAUCCAAAAUAAUGCAUAAUUACAUGAAAUUAUGCUCAACGCUUCAACAUUAAAUCACUACCAUUCAUGCAAGCAAAACAGCACUCAGGAACUGUGCAACUCGCCUCGCGAGCACAUCUACUCGCUAUGGCGAGUUCACAAAACUACUUGCUCGCCAUGGCGAGUUCAUGGCGAACUCGAGGCGAGUGAAAAUUAGGUGCUCUCGGGAAAAAUGACAUUUUCUCACUCAAACCUCAAUUCUAAGCUCCCUAUUCAUCUUUUUAACCUAAAACUUGUUCCCGUCAUCAUUAAUAUCAUCUAGGUACCUUAAACCAUCCCCAAAACAGCUUAUAACAACUUUUCAAAAAUCAAGUUUUGAUCUGGGCUACUCGCCAUGGCGAGUUGGUCUGCUCGCGAGGCGAGCUAUGAAGUUGCUCACUCGCCAUGGCGAGCAAGGCUACUCGCGAGGCGAGCGAUGAACUUCUGUACGGGCAGAUAACAGUUUUUCCCAAAAAUCCCAUUUUCUUCCAAUCACUCCCCAAAUUAGUUUACAGAUGAAAAAUGAAUGUUUAUAUACAACCAGAACCCAAUUCUAACAUCAGAACAACAAUAUCUACCCCAAAAACCAUUAAUUCAAUUUAUACCCAAUUCCUCAAUUUCACUCCAAAACCUGUUAAACUCAAAAUCAGAAUUUAAAAUCUACACUAUUGAAGUAAACCUCACCCUUACCUUAAAUUUGCAGCAAAAAUGCACAGCAAAAAUCAACUCUUGGUUCUUCCUUGGUUCUCUCUUGCUUUCUCCCAAAACUGGUUCUACGUGAAACUGGUUUUCUAACUUCUCUGUAUUAACUUCUCACUUAAUGUAACUCCCUUCUAUUUCAUUUAACUCCCUUUAGUUAUAUUAAAUAUUAAAUAACCCCCAAAACUCCAAAAUAACUAAUAUUUCAUACUUAUUCUAAUUAUUAUUAAAUAAACCAUAUAAUAAAAAAAUACACCACAUAAAUCACCCAAAAAUCACACACACAUAUAUAUAUAUAUAUAUAUAUAUAUACACACACAUAUAUAUAUAUAUAUAUAUAUAUAUAUAUAUAUAUAUAUAUAUAUAUAUAUAUAUAUAUAUAUAUAUAUAUAUAUAUAUAUAUAUAUAUAUAUACUCCACAUAAAUCAAAAUAAUUAAAUAUAACAACUAGGGCGUUACAACUCUCCCCAAAUUACAGAAUUUCAUCCUCGAAAUCUUACCUCAAGCAAACAACUCCGGAUACGACUCCCGCAUCUUACUCUCCAGCUCCCAAGUCAAACUUUCACCAGUCGCUCCACCCCAAACGACUCUCACAAGAGGUAUCUCCUUACCUCUCAAAGACUUCACCUUUCUAUUAUCAAUCCUCAAUGGCAUAGUCUCAACUGUCAAGUUGUCUCUAACCUGUACAUCAUCCCUUGGAAUCACAUGCGAAGGAUCCGCCACAUACUUCCGAAGCUGAGAAACAUGAAACACAUCGUGCAAGUUCGAAAGAUGUGGUGGCAAACCAACUCUAUAUGCCACUGUACCAACUCUCUCUGAAAUCUGAUAUGGACCAAUGAACUUAGGAGUCAACUUUCUCGACUUCAAAGCACGUCCAACACCCGUCAAAGGAGUGACCCUCAGAAAAACAUGAUCACCCUCUUGAAACUCAAGAUCCUUCCUUCGCUUGUCAUGGUAACUCUUCUGUCGACUCUGCGAAGCUUUCAUCUUUUCCCUUAUCAUUCUGACCUUCUCAGUAGUCUCAUGAACCAAGUCCGGUCCCAACACAACACUCUCACCCGACUCAAACCAGCAUAAAGGAGUCCUACACCUCCAACCAUACAAGGCUUCGAACGGUGCCAUACCAAUACUCGAGUGAUAGCUGUUGUUAUAAGUGAACUCAAUCAAUGGAAGGUGACUAUCCGAAGCUCCACCCUGCUCAAGCACACACACCCUCAACAAAUCUUCCAAUGAUUGAAUCGUCCUCUCCGACUGACCAUCUGUUUGAGGAUGAUAAGCCGAACUCAACCUCAACUUCGAACCCAAGGCGUCCUGUAGACUCUUCCAGAACCUAGAAGUGAACCUCGGAUCCCUAUCCGACACAAUACUCGACGGUACACCAUGAAGCUUCACCACACUGUGAAUGUAAAUCUCUGCCAACUGUGCUACCGAGUAACUGAUAUUAAUAGGAAUGAAAUGUGCCGACUUCGUCAACCGGUCGACAAUAACCCAAAUAGCGUCAUGCCCUCUCGGAGUGUUCGGUAAACUCGUUACAAAAUCCAUAGAGAUAAUGUCCCACUUCCAGUCCGGUACAUCCAACGGUGUCAACAACCCUGCAGGCUUCUGAUGCUCAACCUUGGACUUCUGACAAAUCAAACAGGCAUAAACAAACUGAGCAACAUCUCUUUUCAAACCGGACCACCAAAACAGUUUCUUCAGAUCAUGGUACAUUUUUGUAGCCCCCGGGUGAAUACUCAACCUACUCUUGUGACUCUCUUCAAGAAUCAACUUCUUCAAAUCAUCAUUGUCAGGAAUACAAACUCUUCCUCUGAACCUCAGCACACCCUGAUCAUCAACCUUAAAAUCACUGUCCUCGGUGUCACUACCAGUCGUCAUCCAAUCAACCAAUUUCACAUCCGCUUUCUGAGCUUCUCGGAUACUGUUCAAGAAAUUACUAUCAAUCUUCAGCAUCCCCAACUGAAUACUCUGAGGUGACAAUUCACAGACCAAACUCAAGUCUCUAAACUAUUCUAACAAUUCAAAUUCUUUCGCCAUCAAAGCAGACAUGUGCAAAGUUUUCCUGCUCAAAGCAUCAGCAACUACAUUGGCCUUACCAGGGUGGUAAUUCAAGCCAAAAUCAUAAUCCUUCAACAGCUCUAACCAUCUUCUCUGCCUCAUGUUCAGAACCUUCUGGUCAAAUAAAUACUUCAAACUUUUAUGAUCAUUGAACACCUCAGAUCUGGAACCGUACAAAUAAUGUCUCCAAAUUUCCAAAACAAAAACCACCACAGCCAAUUCCAGAUCAUGUGUAGGAUAAUUCUUCUCAUGAACACGCAAUUGCCGAGAAGCAUAUGCUACCACCUUACCAUCUUGCAUCAGAACACCACCUAAGCCCAGCUUAGAUGCAUCACAGUACACAACAAACGGUUCUUCUAGUUUAGGCAAAAUCAAAACAGGAGCAGUUGUCAAUCUUCGCUUCAACUCAUUGAAACUACUCUCACACUGAGCAUCCCACACAAAAGACUUACCCUUACAGGUCAACUGAGUCAACGGAAGAGCCAAUUUCGAAAACCCUUCUAUGAACCUGCGGUAAUAACCAGCCAAACCCAGAAAACUUCUGAUCUCUGUUACCGACUUCGGAGUCUCCCACUGUGAUACCGCAUCAACCUUUGAAGGAUCCACUGCAAUACCACUACCAGAAAUAAUGUGACCCAGAAAGCUCACUUCACUUAACCAGAACUCACAUUUUGACAACUUUGCAUACAAUCUCUUUUCCUUCAACACUUGCAAUACAAUUCUUAGAUGCUCUGCAUGCUCCUCUUCAUUCUUAGAAUAAAUUAAGAUAUCAUCAAUAAACACCACAACAAACUUAUCCAGAAAAGCAUGGAAGAUUCGGUUCAUGUACUCCAUGAACACACCAGGCGCGUUAGUAACACCGAAAGGCAUCACUUUGUACUCGUAAUGACCAUAACGUGUCCUAAAGGCCGUCUUCUGCAUAUCCUCAUCCUUCACCUUAAUCUGAUGGUAACCAGACCUCAAAUCAAUCUUACUAAAAAUCUUAGCACCAACCAACUGAUCCAUCAAAUCCUCAAUUCUCGGAAGCGGAUACCUGUUCUUUAUCGUAACCUUGUUCAACUGACGGUAAUCUAUGCACAGUCUCAUACUACCAUCCUUCUUCUUAACCAACAACACCGGUGCUCCCCAAGGUGAAACACUGGGUCUUACAAAUUUCUUAUCCAACAGGUCUUCCAACUGUUUCUUCAACUCAGCUAACUCAGAAGCUGACAUGCGGUAUGGUGCCAUCGACACCGGCUUCGUUCCUGGAACAAGGUCAAUUGAAAAUUCAACCUCCCUCUUUGGUGGCACAUCAGGAAUCUCAUCAGGAAAUACUUUUGGAAAUUCAUUCACUACAGGUAACCUAUCAAUCACAGCUUGAUUUUCUAACGACAAUUGUGCCAUUAGAGAAUACAUCAGAAUUCCAUCACGUUCAAACUGUUUCAUCUGUUUUGUAGACAAAAGUUCAACUUCACCUUCUUCUUCAGCAGAAGAAAAAUGCACCGUCUUACUAUAGCAGUUGAUAUGAACUCGGUUAUACUCUAACCAAUUCAUUCCAAAGAUCACAUCCAUACCCGUCAACGGCAGACAAACUAAAUCAACCACAAAAUCUCUACCAAACAUAAAUAUAGGACACCCCAGACAAACAAGAGAAGUAGUUACUGAACCCUUAGCUGGAGUUUCAACAACCAUUUCCCCUUUCAUAUCAGAUACAUCCAAACCCAACUUAUAAGCACAUUCAAUAGCAAUAAAACAAUGAGUAGCACCAGUAUCAAUAAUAGCAAUUAAAGGAGUACUAUUAAAGAAACCAGUACCUCUGAUAAGUCGGUCCUCAUUGGUAGUGGUAAUAACCAGCUCAAACCAAACACCUUCCCACCAGUUCUAACCUUCUUCGACUCAGGACACUAUGAACUAAUAUGACCUUCUCCAUUGCAGUUGUAGCAGACAAUGUCCCCACGCUUGCAUUCAGCUAGGCUGUGACCCUUCUAACCACACCUGAAGCACUUCCUCUCAUCUUUACCACAAACAUUACUCUUGUGGCAUUUCUCACCACACUUGUAACAAACAAUCUCAGCAGGAGCAUCUCUCCUCUUGGGCCUCCUGUCAUCACCCAUCUUCUGUUUUCCCUUGUCAGUAGGAGCACUGUAAGGCUUAGGACGAUUCUGAUGUCCCUUACCCCUCCUCUCACUCAUUAUCUUGUAAUGAGCUUUGGUGUCUUCUUCAUAAAUUCUACACCUGUUAACCAACUCAGAAAACACCAUGAUCUACUGAUACCCAAUGGCUCUUUUGAUGCCAGCCCUCAACCCAUUCUCAAAAUUGAUACACUUGGAGAACUCAGUUGUCUCCGCACUGUAAUGAGGGUAGAACGCAACAAGUUCCACAAACUUUGCAGCAUACUCCGUAACGGAUAUGUCACCCUGUUUCAACUCCAGAAACUCGAUCUCUUUCUUACCUCUGACAUCAUCUGGAAAAUACCUGCCCAGAAACUCCUUCCUGAACAUGGCCCAGGUUACCACAGCAUCAUCCUGUUCCAACACAGGCAACAGACUCACCCACCAAUCAUCAGCCUCCUCCGCUAACAUGUGCGUCCCAAACCGCACCUUCUGUGUCUCGGAACACUGCAUGACCCUAAAAAUUCUUUCAAUCUCCUUCAGCAAUUUCUGAGCACCGUUAGGAUCAUACCUACCCUUAAAUGUUGGUGGAUGAUUCCUCAAGAAAGUUUCCAGCAUUCUGGUUCCAUCAACCUUAGGUUGCUGUUGAACAGCUUGAGCUACAGCCUCAAGUGCAGCAACAAGGGCAGCAUCACUACUUUUAGUCAUCUCGAAGUUCUACACGAGAAACAACAACUCAGAACAACAACAAAAAGCAACAUUAAAGUUGACACUCUAUCCUAGGUGGCUCAACACGACUCUACUACUUGGUCGGACGGACCAACCUGCUCUGAUACCAAAUUGUAACACCCCGUUACCCAAAAGUAAUUAAAUAACAGAUAUUAAUCAGAGUUAAACACCAACCGGGUAAGCUACAUUGCAAAUUCAAAAUUCCUUAAAUAGAAAAUAAAACUAUUCAAUUCAACAUGUUUAAUAACUUCAAAAUCAUGCAGCGGAAAGUUUGCAUUUCAAUAACAACAACAAACUGUUUAAGUCUCCAACGACAUCUUGGCAUUAAGCCUAAUCAACAAUAAGUCAACCAACAAGGGCCACAUCAACAAGUUCCAAAAUUUGAUACAUGGAAAGGAAAACAACAAUACUAUAAUAUAAUAAUUCCAAUCCCACGUAUCAGAGCCCUAGACACGACUCUUGAGCCACCACCGACUACUCAGGAUCACCUGCAAGUUACCCAUAGGAAGGGCAACAUUUUCAAGCAGAAGGGGUGAGAUUCACAACAAAUAAUAUAGAUAUAAAAAUCUUCAAUUGAAUCUAACACCCUAACAUCAAAUACAUCAUCUUGCAAGUAUAACCAUAUAAUUCACAAGCAACAACAACCAUCAUCAAAAUCCACACAUCACAAUAUGUAUAUAAAUAUUUACAUAUAUUCAUCAAUAACAUCAACAACAUCAAGUGGCAUCUACAACCAACAAAUAAGACUCAUGCAAUGGACAUGACAACACUGCUAAGACAACACCUUAGACUUCUCAAUAGAUGCAAAUAUGCAUGUGGUACCAAACAGGACCGAAGCCCUCACCGCUUUUGAGCAACUAGUACUCCAGGACAUGAGUCAUCUCCGCUGUUUUAUGCAUAUGCAAUGGACCUACUUGUGUAUAUCUACAUACAACUGACCAUGCAAUGUCCAUGUGACACCACUUAAACAACAUGUAUGAUUCAAUAAUUAGCAUACAUUUCAGUCAUCAUCAGUAAUCAUCAAUUCAGCAAUCCAAUCAUCCAAAAUAAUGCAUAAUUACAUGAAACUAUGCUCAACACUUCAACAUUAAAUCACUACCAUUCAUGCAAGCAAAACAGCACUCAGGAACUGUGCAACUCGCCUCGCGAGCACAUCUACUCGCUAUGGCGAGUUCACAAAACUACUUGCUCGCCAUGGCGAGUUCAUGGCGAACUCGAGGCGAGUGAAAAUUAGGUGCUCUCGGGAAAAAUGACAUUUUCUCACUCAAACCUCAAUUCUAAGCUCCCUAUUCAUCUUUUUAACCUAAAACUUGUUCCCGUCAUCAUUAAUAUCAUCUAGGUACCUUAAACCAUCCCCAAAAUAGCUUAUAACAACUUUUCAAAAAUCAAGUUUUGAUCUGGGCUACUCGCCAUGGCGAGUUGGUCUGCUCGCGAGGCGAGCUAUGAAGUUGCUCACUCGCCAUGGCGAGCAAGGCUACUCGCGAGGCGAGCGAUGAAGUUCUGUACGGGCAGAAAACAGGUUUUUCCCAAAAAUCCCAUUUUUCUUCCAAUCACUCCCCAAAUUAGUUUACAGAUGAAAAAUGAAUGUUUAUAUACAACCAGAACCCAAUUCUAACAUCAGAACAACAAUAUCUACCCCAAAAACCAUUAAUUCAAUUUAUACCCAAUUCCUCAAUUUCACUCCAAAACCUGUUAAACUCAAAAUCAGAAUUUAAAAUCUACACUAUUGAAGUAAACCUCACCCUUACCUUAAAUUUGCAGUAGAAGUGCACAGAAAAAAUCAACUCUUGGUUCUUCCUUGGUUCUCUCUUGCUUUCUCCCAAAACUGGUUCUACGUGAAACUGGUUUUCUAACUUCUUUGUAUUAACUUUCCACUUAAUGUAACUCCCUUCUAUUUCAUUUAACUCCCUUUAGUUAUAUUAAAUAUUAAAUAACUCCCAAAACUCCAAAAUAACUAAUAUUUCAUACUUAUUCUAAUUAUUAUUAAAUAAACCAUAUAAUAAAAUAAUACACCACAUAAAUCACCCAAAAAUCACACAUAUAUAUAAAUAUAUAUAUACUCCACAUAAAUCAAAAUAAUUAAAUAUAACAACUAGGACGUUACAAUAACGAUUUUGGGUUAUGGAAGGUAAAGAUGGAAGCGGUGUUAAUACAGCAAAAGUGUGAGAAUGCUUUGAAGGGUGAAGGUUCGUUACCGGUCACCAUGUCACAAGCGGAGAAGACCAAGAUGGUGGACAAGGCCAGGAGUGCCAUUGUCUUGUGCCUCGGAGAUAAAGUUUUGAGAGAAGUAGCAAAGGAACAAACCGUGGCAUCGAUAUGGGCAAAGUUGGAAUCUUUGUAUAUGACAAAGUCUUUGGCUCAUCGUCAAUUCCUAAAGCAACAACUCUACUCAUUCAGGAUGGUAGAGUCAAAGGCCAUCAUGGAGCAACUUACGGAGUUCAACAAAAUCCUUGAAGACUUGGAGAAUAUUGAGGUGCAACUUGAGGAUGAGGAUAAAGCUAUACUCCUGUUGUGUGGUCUACUGAAAUCUUUUCAAUCGUUCAAAGAUACCAUGCUCUAUGGCAAGGAAGGCACUGUUACCUUGGAAGAAGUUCAAGCGGCUUUGAGAACCAAGGAAUUGACCAAGUCCAAGGACUUGACUCAUGAACACGGUGAAGGCCUAAGUGUCUCAAGAGGGAAUGGUGGAGGUAGAGGUAACCGGAGAAAGAGUGGUAACAAGUCAAGGUUUGAAUGCUUUAACUGUCACAAGAUGGGUCACUUCAAGAAGGAUUGUCCGGAGAUUAAUGGUAACUCCGCACAAAUUGUCUCAGAGGGUUAUGAGGAUGCGGGUGCUCUGAUGAUGUGGUGUUGUUUGGAGGAUGAAGAAGGUGAUGUGUCUCACCUUGGGAGUGAUGCCUAGUGGAGCGGUGGUCGUCUGGAGAGACGUUAAACACUCAACAUCAGCCUGGAGAGGCGGUGGUAAGAAUACUCAUGAUCUACCUGUCGAGGUGGAGUUUCAAGGUUGAAGACAUAGUGGGAUGUACACAUUUGCUAGUUGAGGUAGAGUACGCUCAGCGUGAGGUGGAGUUGAACACACCAGUAAUGGUACGGCUAUGAAGGACCUUGAGUGCUAUGCUCUAUCGUGAGCAAAGGAUUUCUUCAUGAAGUUGAAGAAUGUAUAGCACGGCUUGCGGAAUUACCCUAAAAGAAGGCCAAGGGUGAUUGGAUGCAAGGUGAUCUUUAAGGAAGCGGGAGAUGUUUUGCAUUGAAGAUGUUAUGGUGAAUGCUUGUGGGACUAACUAAAAUUCCUAGCGUAGUUGGGCUGCAAGGACCUUCGAGAAGGCGGAAGACAUUCCGAGGGCUGAAGGGGUUAAGGUGUAUACUUGUGAAUUACUCUAAAAGCCAAGGGUGAUUGGGUACAAGUAGAUCUUCAAGGAAAGCGGGAGAUGUCUCGUAUUGAAGAGGUUAUGGUAUAGUCUUGUAGAACUACCUGAAAUUCCUAGCGUAGUUGGACUACAAGGAUCUUCGAGAAGGCGGAAGACAUUCCGAUGGCUGAAGAGGUUAAGAGGUGUAAACUUGUGGAGCUACUUGGAGUAGUGGGAAGCAAGGGAAAGAGCAGCAAGGAUGUUGAUGAUUGGCAUCAUCACUGAUUUGAAGUCAAGGUGGAGAAUUGUGAGAGUUAACUUAAAAUCAGAUUUCUGCAGAAUCGCGGCAUGAUGGCAAGGCAACGUGGCACGAUGGAGGUUUCAGUUUUUUGAGGCAAGGCACUGGAAAAAUUGUGGCACGAUGGGGUCGCAUCGUGGCACGAUGGUGCGCUGGCGGCGAAUAACAGAAACAUAUUUUUGGGUGCAUAUUUGUUCCAAAUUUUAAGUGAAACUUUUAUUAUAAAUAUAGACCUUGUAUCAGAGCAAACUUUGAGAUAGAGGGGGCUGAAACAAGGGUUUAGAAAGGCAACAACAAAACUAGGGUUUGUAUAGAGUUUGUCUCUUCGGAACAAACACUAGGUUUUGAGGGUUGAUUCACCUUGGGAAACACUAUUAGGAUUGAGUCUCUUGGUUAUGGGAAGAGACUAGGACUUUGGGUAGAAUUAGGCGGGAGACUUAUUCUUGUAACCCAUUGAUUUCUCUUUGUAACGAUACUCAUCAGAUAGUGGAUCGGAGGACUACUCUCUCCCCCAGACUAGGUCAAUUUGGACCGAACUUGGUCAACAAAUUCUUUUGUGUUCUUCUCGCCGUUGUUUUCUACUUUUGGCUUGUAUUUAAUUGUUCCAUACACCUUGAUUUUGGUUACUUGAUUAUCUCUUGCUCCAGACAUCAAGUUGUUAUUGGUGUGAUUUUCAUCGAAUUCGCAACAUGUUAAAAGUAAAGUCCCUGCUACUUUUCGAUUUCUAAUUAUGAUAAUCUUCAUCUACUAAACCAUAUAAUAUCUACAAAAAGUUCUAAGCUUUUCUUCUCCAUUCUAGCAGCCAUUUUUUGUAACCUUUAAUCGAAAGGUUUGUUGGCUUUGAUUUAUUGUCACGUAUUUCUCCCAACAAAUCACAAAAAUUUCAACCAAUUAAAACUUGUGAUUACUCCAAAGGCAAAUGGGUUGGGACGAAACUUAAUAUUCAAAUAAAUUUUCCCAUGAAAAUUGUCCUUUAUUAUUAUCCUGGAUUCUGAUGCCAGCAAAACAAAUAGGACAAUAGAUAUCCACAAAAGUAUGAUGUACAAGAAUGGAGUCUAUCCAAUGGAGAAGAACCAAAGAGACAAACACGAGCUUCAUGUCUUCUGUGUGUCUUCCAUGGAGGAAUGAAUAUAUUGGGUUUGGAGGAGAUGAAAAGACAAUGUUAACAUGUGUUUUUUUGUUUGUUUUUUUUCCUUAAUAUAAUUUGACAGAAUUUAAUUAAACGGUGUUUAACACCAAGGGAGAUCAGUGCUAAGUAAGAAACUAGAGAGGAUGUAUGUGUCAUUUAUGGUGUGUUUGGUUCACAAGAGAAAUUGUGAAGAGAGAAAUAGGUGAGAGAGAGUUUGAGAAGAGGGAAAGAAGUGAGAAAUAUAGUAGAUUUAAAGUAUUGUUUGGUUUAAGAGAAAAAGAAGAGAAAUAGGGAAGAGAGAAACACAAUUGUUUUUUGAAUUGAUAAAUAAGCCCCUAUUUAAAAAUAUAUUUAUACUAAAGUUUUAUUGUCAAAUUUAAUUUAUUUUUCGUUAAACCUCUUAUUGUCGGUUUUUAAAAAGUAAGUAUAUUUAUUGUUAUCGUUGUUGAAUAACGAUUGUGAAUAUAAUAAUUUCCUUAAAAAAAAUUGUGGAAAAAAUAAUCAAAGAAACCUCGAAAUUGCUCGCCAUUAAUUAGCGAAUUUCACAGUAAAUAGAAUAAUCAACACGUUGUAGCUAGCUACCUGCAAUAUGAUAUUGCUUUAUAAUAUCAUCAUCACAUUCACUUUGUUGUGGAGCAAUGAAAGUUUGGGGAUAAGUCAAAUAAAAAUUAAAGCAUGUGUAAGAAAUGAAAGCAAGGGUAAAGCUGUAAUUAUCAGUAUAUGUUACCCCUCUCUCCAUUUUCUUCGCUGUCCAGCAGAGAAAUCAAAAAGGUGAUAUUUUAUCUCUCAUAUUUCUCUCUCUUUAACUUCUCUCCUCCACCAAACCGAAGAAAUUGAGCAUUUCUCUCCUAUCUCUCUCUUUGCUAACUCUCUCUUCACAAUUUUUCUUCAAACAAACAGACCCUUAGAGAAACUUUAGGGGAGGUCAGUAUAAUUUACUAUAAUCUACGGUACUCAAAGUAUCUAACCCUAAUAUUUCACGAACGAUCAAUCUUUUCUAAGUCAAUUGAUUUUUUUUAGUAUCUUGAUGAUUUAAUGAUCACAAUGUAAGGUUUAGAUUGUUAUUUUGGCAGGGGGGAUUAGGUUUUCGGAUUUUUAGGGUAAUUUUUUAGAAGGGUUCUUAUUAUUUUUCCGGAAAAUUGUGUUGAAGAUAUGAACGAAUGCGGAAAAAUGCUGAGUGUAAGGAAGACAAAAAGAACACAAGAGCAUUCACUACAAGAAAAUAGCAUUUUUGCUUCAAAUUUUAGCGUCGACUCCCGACACCGACGCUAAUAGCGUCUGCUUAGAGUCGGCUAGACUCACGCUACAUCAAUUAUAAUUUUUUCUUUAAUUUUGGUAAAAGAUAGAAUCAUCCAAGCCCAGGCUACAUGGUAAUGGACUUUUGCGAACAAAUUUAGAGUCUGAUAGGCCGACUCUACAAUUUUUUAUGAUAUAAAUUUAAUUUCUCAAAAAAUUAUUAUUACCUCUUUUUGACUAAAGUCAACAAAAAAAUUACACUAAAUAUAUUCCCAUACGUUUUUCCCUUUCUUUAUUUGCACUAAAAAAAAUUACACUAAAUAUUUUUUUUUAUUUUUUUUAUUUUUCACUCAUACUUACUCAACAAAAAGGAAAAUGCUAGAUAUCAAGAAUGAUUUUAUAAGAAAGAUUCAAGAAUGACAUGGCACAAUAAUCACCUUUAGAUUUCAGUCUCAUUUAUCAAUCUUUCAUAAAAAAAAAAAUACAUAACACCCACCAUCCCAUGAUUUUCGGCCAAGCUGAGAUUUUAUUGGCUAACAUUAAUUUCAGGAUUAUUUCUUGAUAAAAUCAUAUAGCGUCGGCCAUUCCAAUUCUAUAAACUAUUGUUGACUUUUUAAAUAUUGACUUUAGAGUUUGCGAGUCCGACUCUAAAUGAAUCAUUUUAGCGUCGGUUUGUCUCACUCUACAUGAUUUGGUUGACUUUUCAGAGUUGAAAUAUUAGCCUCGGCUCAUCGUAGAGUCGAACUUAAACUCGGCAUAAUCGACGCUAAGGUAGCCUCGGAUUGCAAAUAGCAGAAGCUAUCUAGUAACUUCGAGUUUUUAGCCUGCCCCAACUCCGACGCUAAUGCGACGCUAAGAAAACUUAGUGCUAAAAAUGAUUGAAGAAUGGACAAUGUUUUCCAUGACAAGAAAGGACUUAGUGCUAAGAAAACUUUCUUCAUGAUUGUUAAAGAAUGGACAAUGUUUUCCAUGACAAGAAAAUGAGAGUUUUAGAAUGCAAGUGAUAUUGAAUUUAACAGUUGAGAAUGUGAAAGGUGUGGUUAAAAUGAUUGUGAUCUCAAUUGAUUUUAUAGAGGCGAAAAUGUGUUUAUGAAGCAAUGUUACCUUUUAAAAAGGGUCUCAAAUGAAUAGACGUAUUUGAAAUGAAACCUAUUCAUAAAAUUUAAAUUUUUGAAGGUGGUACCCGGUUACCAUGGGAGGCGCAAUAGUUACACCUUCCGACGGUAAUAUUUUUCAAAAAUUCAACUCCGAUAACCGGUAUCAUAUCAAGGUGAAACCAGUUACACAUGCCCAAAAAUGAUUUUUCACGCGUUUUGGAUGCAUUGCUUCAUAUGGACUUAUGACUUUAAGUUAUAAAAAUAUGUGGAAAUGUUUUUUUGAGCAUUCUAAGUUGUACUAAAGGUUAAGAAUGUAAAUCAUAAGAUAAGUGCCAUACUUAUAAAAUAUAGGUUUAAUUACCUUUUUGGUCCUCUAACUAUUUAAUUGGUAUCGGAUUGGUCCUCUAACUAAAAAUUGAUUUAUUUCGGUUCUCUAAGUUUCCCACCGUUAUUACAUUUAGUCAUUUCUGUUGGUUUUAUUCAAAUAAACGUUAGGAUUUGUGUUAUGUGAGUCCUCUAACUUUAUUUAUUAGUAUCAUUUUGGUCAUAUGCCUUGUUAAGGUAUUAUGAUUAAAUAGUGACUGAUAUUAUUGGUAACUGUUAUGGUUCAUAUGUAUGUGUGAAACAUGAGGUCAAGUACCCACAUAACACAAACCCUAACGUUUAUUUGAAUAAAACUAAUAGAAAGGACUAAAUGUAGUAACAGUGAGAAACUUAAAGGACCAAAAUAAAUCAAUCUUUAGUUGGAGGAUCAAUCUGAUACCAAUUAACUAGUUAGAGGACCAAAGAGGUAAUUAAGCCUUUUUCUAUUGCAAGAUCCAAUGAAAUAACAAAAGUGAGGAAUUUUAAAUGAUAAAGGUUGAAUUUUUUUCUUCUUCUUACGAAAGCGAAUGACAUUCAAAAACUAAAAUUUAAGAUAAAAAAUUAAACAAAUGACACUCAAAAUCUAACGAAACAACCCAUCACAUUAGACAAAGAUCCUACAUUGAAUUAUAUUAUCACAUUAGACUAAGAACAAUCACAGAAGUGAGAUUCACAUCACAUCUUCGUUCAAAGUCUGAAAGCAUUAUGUAUAUGAGUCAUCUCACUUAAAUGUUUCUCAUAUCUACUAUUGCAUACAAUAUAAAAUUUUAACUCACACUUGACACAUUAACAUCUCUCCAUUAAGUGUCAGGAUCUUUGUGUUUGUAGUCCACCACCCAAAACAACCCUCGCUCCCUCACAAUGUCUAACCGAGAUGUAAUACCACCGCUGGACUUUCUGUGGAAUCUUAAACUGAUGUAGAUCGACAAUUUCGGGAAAGAGGAAACCACACACGUGAUAAUAAUACCACCACAACUUCAUCCAAAAUUUUAAAACUUAAAGUAUAUGAUUUUUGUUAGUAUAUAUAAUAUAUGCGACGACAUUCUAGCCCGUGCUUAGCCCGGGUUUCCAUGCUAGUAAUAACAUAAGAGCACGCUUUUAAUUAAUCUUGUUAUUGUCUCUCUCUCGUCCCCGACGUCAUCUUGCCGGAAAAUCUUGCCGCCGACGAAACAAAACUACGGUUAACAAAAACAUGAUAAGAGAAUUAAGAAGCUCUUUGAAAGUUUGAAUCGGAGAAAAACAAUGAUUUUGAAGGUUUGAGUCAAAGAAAAACAACCAUUGACUGUAAAUUACGGCCUUUGAAGGAGUUGAAUUUGCAAGAAAUUGAGAAUGGUAGAAUUUUGAUCUGAUUGGAUCCAAGAGUGUGAGGCGGUUACUUCUCCGGAGUUAGAUAACAUGGAAUGUUGACGAGAAAAAAUUGUAAGCAAAUUUGAUGUUAUUUUGAAGAAAGCUUAAUGAAUUGAGUGGAGAAAGAAAGAAGAAAACGAGAGUCAAUGAAGCAAGCUUACUGAAUACAUCCAGGUGAUCAGAAUAGGACAUGAUUUUGUGGAUUAUUUAGGCGAUGCCAUUAGUAUUGAAGGGAGAGAAAUGGAAAAUUUCUUUGUAAUUGUGAAUCGUAGAGAGAGAGAGAAAAUUAAUUUACAAUAAAAAGUGUCAUUAAAAAGAAUUAGAGAAAAAAAAAAAAUAGGGCAUUUAUUAGUUCUUAAGAUGUGCAAUGUUGCACAUGUUAGAAAAUCCCUAAUUAUAUUUAACAACAUAAAUAACUUCAUCUAUUAGUAAUAAUAAUUCUUCAUGUAAUAAUUCUUAAUAACUCAACCAACUUCUAAUUAUCAUUAACUUCAUAUUCAUCACAUUAUAAACAUCAUCAUAUAGCACAUAAUAACCAAAUCAUAACCAACAUAGAUCAUCACAUCAUAAAUAUCAUCUUUAACACACAACAUAAUCAUCAUCUCAUAAAAACUUAGACCACACAACAUAAUCAUCACUUAAUAAUAAUAAUUAUAUACAACACAACAUAAUCAUCACUUAAUAAUCAUAUACAACAUAACAUAAUCAUCACUCAAUAAUAAUAAUCAUAUACAAUACAACAUAAUCAUCAUCUUAUAAUGAUAUAAACAACACAUAUUCUGUUGAGGCAAAAUCCCUAAUUAAUUUUAAAGAUAAUAAACUUUAAUGAUUAAGGAUUAAAUGGACUUUGAUUAAAUCAUUGGUAUUUAACUUGUGCUCUUGAGUGUUUUCACUAAGACAUGAACAAGGUUUGAAUCAUACCAAGAUGCAUAAAAUCAAAGGACAUUUGAUCAAUGAACUAAUUCUGAAGUUCAGAAAGUUAGUUCAGAAUGUUGAUCAGAGAGUUGAUCAGAACAUUCUGUUGAGAGUUCAGAAGGUCGUUCAGAAGCAACCAUGUUCAGAAGCAACCCAGUUCAGAAGGUUGUUCAGAAGCAACCCAGAUUCAUCAAGAACGUGAAGAACAUGCAAGACAUGAAUAAAAGGUCCAGAAAAGUACAUCUGCAUGGAUCUAUCAACAAAUAAAGGCAUGGACAAGGAACUAUGUCAAAAGGAUCUUUAAUGUUCAUCCAAGACUAUGAACAUUAAAGUACUAGGAAUAUUCCAAAGAGAAUAUUGUCCUAGAUGAUGCAUUCACUGCACUUCAGCUGUAUCUUACUAUUAGGUUUGAUUACAUUAAAAGUUAAGUCUUACAAAUCAACCUAAAGUAAGAACAAAUGGAACAUUCUGAAAUCAGAAUGUUCACUUCUGCACAUGCUUCCAGCCAUGAACAGUGUAGUUGGUGAAAAGAUGGAAAAGCUAGCAAAGGAGAUCUUGCAUCAGAGAUAACGUGUACUCUGAUAUGAAUCAAGCAAAUCUCUUUGAAGCAUGGGCCUGAAGAUUGCAGAUCCACUAUCCUCUCUCUCCUGCACCAAAUCCAAGACAGAUUUGUUUCAACUUUAUCCUACUUUUUCAAGCAACUUUUGAUGCAUAUGGAGAAGUAACUUUUGAGGGAUAAAACAUGAACAAAUCUCAUGUCACGUAUUGGAUGAACCUAGGAACUCAUCAGACAUUCAUCCUGGAUGAACCCAGAUGAAGAACAUAAUGAAUAUCAAAGAUUCUGAUGAAGAACACAGCAACAUUCUGAUGUUCAUCCUGGGAACUCAACAACAUUCUGAUGUUAAGAAUGUUCACCCAUAUUUUCAAGUAAAAGCUUGUAGGGCCCAGGACACGUGGCAUAACACCAUUGGUCACCUUACAAAGGCUCAAAAUGAGGAAACGAGGAAACGAGGAAAAGGCAAAGACAUUGCCAUUCUUGCCUCUACUCUAAAGGCUCAAAAUGCUGAAAAGAUGGCCAACAGACCCAUCAACAGAUCUAAGUAUUUUGACUUUGAAAGUCUUAAGACAAAAGGAUGGAAUCUGAAGAAGUUCACAGAUCCUCAAGGCUGGUCAAGUUUUGUUUCCACUCAAUUUCAGACUUUUCCAGACUUGGUAAAGGAAUUUUAUGCCAACAUGAUUGUAAAGGAACACAAUGAAGAAAAGUUCCUUGAGUCCACAGUCAAAGGAGUGAAAAUCCAAGUUUCUCAGAACCUUCUUUCAGAUAUUCUGAAUAUCCCAAAUGAAGGUAAUGAACUGUACAACUCUUGGUUUUCUAGUGUAGGAAUCACACGUGAACAACUCCUUGAAGAGUAUAUCAAACCAAACCAUGAUAUUAAUUCCACAAAUCUUGAAGAUACACCCAAGAUUCUCCACAACAUGAUCAGGCAUACUCUCCUUCCUAGAUGUGGAAGCUUUGAGGUUAUACCUGAUACUGAUCUUUGCAUCAUUUAUCACCUCAUAACCAAAACAAAGCUACAUCUGUGCUUUAUCAUGCUCCAACACAUGAUGGAUCAAUGCUACUCCUUCAAAUAGAAAGUUGUUGGGUUGCCCUAUGGGAUGCACUUGACGCCCAUAUUUGAAGCUGCUGGAAUUUCUCUGAAUAAAGAAAAAGGUCAGGAUACCUUUAUGAGAUUCACAGCCAAAACCAUUAGUCAACUUCACAUCACAACUUCAAACAUGCCUAUUCCUCAAAAGACUGGAUCAGCUAAGAGACUUGCUGAUCAGAAAGUUCAGGAAGUAAGGAAGAAGCAGAAAGCUGACAAGCCUGCCAAGAAGGAAAUUGGUUCAAGUUCUCAGAAGGUUGAGAAAGGAAAGGCUACUCCAGCUCUUGAAGUCUUUGCUCAUGUUGUUGAACAUGCAAGAGAGCUAAUUGAAGAAAGCCAAGAACAGUUUGAAGCUAUGCUGGGUAAGAAAGCUGCUGAGAAGGUUGGAGAAUCUGAUGCUGACCAUCAAAAUGUUGAAGACUCUUUGAAUCAAGGUGUUGAAGCACUCUCUGAAGAUAUUAGAGUUGAAGAAAAUACUGAGCUUCAAGCUUAGAAUGUUGAUAAUGAUACUAGGGAAGUUGCAGAAAUUCUAGUAUCUGACUCUUUUGGAAGCAAAAAUCAACCAAUGGAUGUUGAAGAAGAAGCUGUGUUGGAACAAGAAAAUGUUGAAGCUCAUCCUGAUUUUGAUCUCAACAUUGAAGACACUACAAAUGAUCUCUAUGAUGAGCUCUUUCAAGAUGCUCAGGGAGAAAACAUUCAGCAAGAUGAUCAGAAUGUUCUGGAGGAUGUAGCUCAAAAUGUUCCUACUGCACCUGUUGAGCAGCUGUCAGCAGAUCCUAAUCCUUUCGGUUUAGGAUCUUUGCCUUCUGAGAAAGUUCAGCUUCUUGCUCAAACUGGUCAGAAUGUUCAGAGAGAUCAGAAUGUUCCAUCUGCUCAGAACAUGGAACAGGCUCAGUUUGUGAACUUGUCAACAUCAACAAUGGGGUCUACUGCUGGAAUAAGCAAGUAUCUGGUGUCUUCCCUACCAACACCAAGUACCAUUCCUUCAUUCACACCACCUCCACCACAAACCAAAACAACUCAAAAUCUCCCAAACAUGUCUUCCUUGUUUGACUCUUUAAACACUUUUGUCACAGCAAACAAAGGAAAAGUUGAUGUUUCUGGUGAUGUUGCACCUGCCAAACCUUCUAAGGCUAAGAAAAUUGCUGCAAGGGCUCUCAGAGUUGCCACUAAAACUCACAAAAUUGUGUGUGCACUAAAACUCACAAAAUUUUGAAUCUGAACCAUCCUCAGAUUCUGGGGAUUCUACUCCCUGAAUCAUUUCUGGUCCUACUCCCUAACCUUUUUGCAGAUGACUAAAGGGGGAGAAGCUUUAGGAUUUUAUAUCUUUAAGUUCUCUAAGUUUAGGCACUAAGUAGGCUAGUGAUCAAUAGUUAUUGAAGUCUUAUAAAACUUCAUUUUUGCUUGAUCAAACUUAGUUUAUAUGCUUUUUUGUUUUUGAUCCAUGUUCAUCAUACAAAUUGUAUUUCAUGAAUGAUAUUAAUGAAUAAAUAUUGAUGUUGGUUCAAAUUUUCAUAUUCUUAUUUAUACUAUGGAUUAUAAAAAUGAGGGAGAGCUUUUUAAAACUUCUAAAAACUCAUAAUGGAUUAUAAAAACAAGGGGGAGCAUUAAAAUAAAAUUUUCAAGCUCUAAAAUUCUUCAUUUAUAAUCAAAAUCCAUAAUCCUAAAUCAUAAGUUUAUCAUCUUCAAAAAGGGGGAGAUUGUUGAGGCAAAAUCCCUAAUUAAUUUUAAAGAUAAUAAACUUUAAUGAUUAAGGAUUAAAUGGACUUUGAUUAAAUCCUUGGUAUUUAACUUGUGCUCUUGAGUGUUUUCACUAAGACAGGAACAAGGUUUGAAUCAUACCAAGAUGCAUAAAAUCAAAAGACAUUUGAUCAAUGAACUAAUUCUGAAGUUUAGAAAGUUAGUUCAGAAUGUUGAUCAGAGAGUUGAUCAGAACGUUCUGAUGAGAGUUCAGAAGGUCGUUCAGAAGCAACCUCGUUCAGAAGCAACCCAGUUCAGAAGUGUCGCGCCAUUUUUCGGACGUCAAGGCCAUUUGAUUGACUUUGACUCACUUUUUUACUCACGACUGGAAAAAAAAAAAAUUUAAGGGGAAAAAGUUCCAAACAACCCAUUUUGAAGAGAUUUAGGGUUCGGGGGUUGGUUAUAUUUAGGGAAGGUGUUAGCACCCUAAAUAUUCGUAGUAGUCUACGAGAACCUCUUGAUUUUAUUUAACUUCUUGUGCUAUAACUUGCUUGCUUUUGAAAAGAUGAAAAUGGAAUUGAAUGAUGAGUUGAAAAGGAAAAGAAAAUUGACUUUAAUUGAAGAGAAAAAAAGAAAAUGUUUUUUAAUUGAUUUGGAAGGACAAGGUCCUCUGCCUACGUACCCGUGAGGGAUCAAAACCUCGUAGUUCGGGGUAGAAAUUGACGUUUGAUUGGUUGAGUGUUUUUUUAUUAGAUUUUAAAAAAAGGUUUUGAAAUAAAAAGGCAAGUGGCAAAUGAGAAUUGAUUUGUGUUUUUUAGAUUGAAGAAAACUGACUUAAAGUUGAAUUAGAAUUGAUUUGAAAUUUGAUUAAGUAAAAUAAAAUAAAAAGACGGUCACUUGAUUUAAGAUCAAGGUUUAUUGUGAAAAGUUCUUUUUGUGAAUUUUGGAUAUUUGAAGGUUUUUGUUGUUUUUGAAUAAUAACUGAAAAUUAAACUAAUAGAGCAAUACAAAAUAAAAAGUGUGUGGGUGCGAAGAAAAGAUGGUUAGUUCGACAAUAUAAAUAGUAUUUAAUAUAGGUAGGACCAGAAUAUUCUGGAGAAUGAUUAAAUUAAACAAAAAUAUAAUAUUAACAGUUGAUAUAGGACCAGAGCACUCUGGAUUAAUUUAAUUAACACUGACCAGAUUAUUCUGGAGAAUAACAAAAUAUAAUAUUGACAGUUAAUUGAGGACCAGAGCACUCUGGAUUAAUUUAAUUAACAGGGACCAGAUCGUUCUGGAGAAUAACAAAAUAUAAUAUUAACAGUUAAUAUGGGACCAGAGCACUCUGGAUUAAUUUAAUUAACAAGGACCAGAUCAUUCUGGACAAUAAUUAAAUUAAAAGAAAUAACAUUAACAGUUAAUAUAGGACCAGAGCACUCUGGAUUAAUAGAGAGAAAAUUAAAAUGCAUGAAAAAGAAAUAAAAAAAAAAUGAGAUGCUGGGGGGGUAAGCAAGAAAUAAAAGGGGGUGCAGGAAUUAGAAGAAAGACAGAUUGGGGUUGGAUGAGAUCAGGCGCGUGUGGGCCUCGUGGGCCGGUUUAGGACGGUUCAGACCGGUUCAGAGACUGAACCGGUUCGGCCUGAUAUUAUAAAUAGGGAUGGUGCCGGUUUAAUUUCAUUUUUUACAUCCCCUUCCUCUCUCUACCUCAUUUUAGAGAGAGAAGCUCUCUUCUCUCUCCUUCCCUUCUUCAUCUUCUUCGGCGAGAAGAGUGGCGGCCGGAAGUAUCUCCGGUGCGGUGCCCAGCGAGCCAUCGCGGCGCCGCCGCCGCACCGGAGUUAAAAUCUACUCCUUUUUAAAUUUUUUUUGUUCUUUCUCUCCUACUCCCUCUCCUCUAUACGUUUUUUAGCCUUAAAAAUUCGAAAUGAAGUCUAUAACAACCUAGAUCUGAAACGUUUGAAAAGAACUACCUUUUCUUGUGUUUUUUUAUCGGAUCUGUUUGUUUUUGUACGACUUGUUGGUUUGGGUAUGUUGAAAAAAAAGGUUUGAUUCGGUUAUGAUCUGGAUUUGUGUUGGUUUGGGUUGCUUUGAGUAUGAGGAUUUUGAGUUGUGGUUUUGAUGUUGAAACUGGUUUCUGGUUUAUUGCUGUUUUUGUCGUUGGGCCCCCUUUUGUCUGUGUGCAGGUGGUUAUAUUUAUAGGACUGAAUUUCUGUUGCUUGGAGAGGAACAUGACAGCUUGUUUCUUAGCUGUGAAUGAGCUGUUUGUGACCUGUGUGUUCCGAUAUUAUCGGACAAAAUUUUGACAUUAAAAAUAAAAUAAAAGGACUAAAAAUAAAUAAGAUAAAAUAAAGGUUAAAAAAUGAAUUUAAAGUUUAGUAAAAGAUGGAAACUAAAUAAAAAUGAGAAUUGAGAAUAUGAGGUAUUUUAAAAUACCUCCCGCCGAAAAUUCUUGGCUUUACACUACGAACUAGAAUGGGUAAAAAAAUAGAAAAAAGUGGUCAAAAUUUGGGGUAUGACAAGAAGGUUGUUCAGAAGCAACCCAGUUCAAAAGGUUCUUCAGAAGCAACCCAUAUUCAUCAAGAACGUGAAGAACAUGCAAGACAUGAAUAAAAGGUCCAGAAAAUUACAUAUACAUGGAUCUAUCAACAAAUAAAGGCAUGGACAAGGAACUAUGUCAAAAGGAUCUUUAAUGUUUAUCCAAGACUAUGAACAUUAAAGUACUAGGAAUAUUCCAAAGAGAAUAUUGUCCUAGAUGAUGCAUUCACUGCACUUCAGCUAUAUCUUAAUAUUAGGUUUGAUUACAUUAAAAGUUAAGUCUUACAAAUCAACCUAACGUAAGAACAAAUGGAACAUUCUGAGAUCAGAAUGUUCACUUCUGCACAUGCUUCCAGCCAUGAAUCAAACAAAUCUCAUGCACCAAAUCCAAGACAAAUUUGUUUCAACUUUAUCCUACUUUUUCAAGCAACUUUUGAUGCAUAUGGAGAAGUAACUUUUGAGGGAUAAAACUUGAACAAAUCUCAUGUUACGUAUUGGAUGAACCCAGGAACUCAUCAGACAUUCAUCCUGGAUGAACCUAGAUGAAGAACAUCAUGAAUAUCAAACAUUCUGAUGAAGAACACAACAACAUUCUAAUGUUCAUCCUGGGAACUCAACAACAUUCUGAUGUUUAGAAUGUUUACCCAGAUUUUCAAUUAAAUGCUUGUGGGGCCCAGGACACGUGGCAUAACACCAUUGGUCAUCUUACAACGGCUAUAUGAGCCCAAAGACUCUAUAAAUAGAGAUCAAAGGCUCAACAUUACUUGCACCAUUGCAAAGCAUACAAGAAAACAACAAAGAUUGUUUGAAGCUCUUGCAAAACUGAAAUUGAUCAAUCUCUAAGGCUUUCGUUUACUUAGUGAAAAUCAAUACUCUUUGUUAUCUGAAAGAUAACAUCUUCCUGCUCCUUUGUUUGAUUCACAAACAUUCAACCUCCAUACAAAUUGUAACAAAGUCUCAUCUAGCUUUAGGGGUACUAAAGUGUUAGUUUGAGCAAAGGUUGUAAAAGUCUAAGUGGUUAACUUAGCAACAAGGUGCAAGCCUGCUGAGGCUUAGAGAAUACAGAAUUGUAAUUGUUCAGGUGAACAAAGAUUGUAAGGUGCAGGAUUUGAGAGGUUAUCUCAAACAUCAUAGUGGAAACUCUCACAAGAUUGUGAGGAGUGGACUAACCCACAUUGGGGGAACCACUAUAAAUUCUCUGUGUGUUUAUUCUCUCUUCCCUAUACUCUUUACUUACUGCAUACACAACACACACAAACACAUUUACUUUAUUAAACUGUUUUUGCACUCAGACAUCUGAACGUUCUGAAGUCUGUUUUUAACUUAACCAUUCCAAGUUUCAACUUGAGAAUCAAUUUUAAGUUACAGGUUUAAUUUUUAAAGGGUCACAAUUCAAAGCCCCCCUUCCUUGUGACUAUUUUAUCUACUUCAUAUUCAUCAUCUUAAAAUAAUAUAACAACAACAUAUUCAUCAUCUCAUCGUAAUAUAAGAACACAUAUUCAUCAUCUUAUAAUAAUAUAACAACAACAUAUUCAUCAUCUCAUCAUAAUAUAACAACAACAUAUUCAUUAAUAGUCCAUGGUUUGUCAUUAUCAACAACUUCAACGAUUCGUCAACGACAAUGUAAACUUGACAAUAAUAUAACAACAACAUAUUCAUCAUAUCAUCGUAAUAUAACAACACAUAUUCAUCAUCUUAUAAUAAUAUAACAACACAUAUUCAUCAUCUUAUAAUAAUAUAACAACAUAUUCAUCAUCUCAUCAAAAUAUAACAACAACAUAUUCAUUAAUAGUCCAUGGUUUGUCAUUUUCAACAACUUCAACGAUUCGUCAUCGACAAUGUCAACCUGACAACAUAACCACCUCUUAUAAUACGACAACGUAAGAGUACACCACCUCUUAUAGAACAACAAUGUAAGAGUACACCACCUCUUAUAAACAACAACGUAAGAGUACACCACCUCUUCUGAAACAACGACAUAAUCAACAUAACAUUGUCAUAGAUGACAACUCAUCAACAACGACUUUGACACGACAAUGCAACUUCGACUUGACUAUGCAACUUUAUCUUCUUAAUCAUGCAUGUGGUACCAAUCCAGGGCAUCAAACCCCCAACGUAUUGAGCGUAAAUAGGCUCCCAAGGCAUCAAGCCCUCAACUUAUUUGAGCAUUAAUAUACUCCCAGAGCAUCAAGCCCUCAACUUAAUUGAGCAAAGGCUCCAGGGCAUCAAGCCCCCAACGUGUUGAGCAAAGGAUCCAGGGCAUCAAGCCCUCAACUUAAAAUGAGUAUCCAUGGAUUCAACAACUUACAACUUGGACAACAUCGACAACUUAAGACUCUAAUACUUUGGAACGACAACUCACAACUUAGACAACAUCAACAACUUAUAUGACUCCAAUACUUUGGAACGAUAACUUACAACUUUACAAUUUAGACCAACACCUGAAACUUGAUCAAUAUUCAACAGCAACAGAAACAGCACAAGCAAUUCACAACAUGUCAAUAUCAAUGCAUAUACAAAUAAUAAGCAACAUCUGAAGUAGAUAAAACAGUCACAAGGAAGGGGGGUUUGAAUUGUGACCUUUUAAAAAUUAAACCUGUAACUUAAAAUUGAUUCUCAAGUUGAAACUUGGAAUGGUUAAGUUAAAAAUAGACUUCAGAACGUUCUGAUGUCUGAGUGCAAAAACAGUUUAAUAAAGUAAAUGUGUUUGUGUGUAUUGUGUAUGCAGUAAGUAAGGAGUAUAGGGAAGAAAGAAUCAACACACAGAGAAUUUAUAGUGGUUCCCCCAAUGUGGGUUAGUCCACUCCUCACAAUCUUGUGAGAGUUCCCACUAUGAUGCUUGAGAUAACCUCUCAAAUCCUGCACCUUACAAUCUUUGUUCACCUAAACAAUUACAAUUCUGUAUUCUCUAUGCCUCAGCAGGCUUGCACCUUGUUGCUAAGUUAACCACUUAGACUUUUACAAACUCAGCUCAAACUAACACUUUAGUACCCCUAAAACUAGAUGAGAUUUGUUUUUCUUCUUGCUAAGUUGCCCACUUAGACUUUAGCUCCUUCUGCUCAAACUAACACUUUAGUACCCCUAAAGCUAGAUGAGACUUUAUUUUCUUCUUGCUAAGUUACCCACUUAGACUUUUGCACCUUUAGCUCAAACUAACACUUUAGUACCCCUAAAGGUAGAUGAGACUUUACAAGAUGUUUGAAGCUUGAAUGAUUGAAAUCAAACAAGAGAAGAAAGGAAGGAAGUGUUAUCUUUAAAGAGAUAACAAAGAGUAUUGAUGUGCACUAAGGAAACAAGAGCCUUAGAGAUUGAUCAAUUUCAAUUUGCAAGAGCUUCAAACAAUCUUUGUUGUUUUCUUGUAUGCUUUGCAAUUUGUGUGGAGUUUGAAUGUUUGAUAAACAAACAGAGGAGGAAGAAGAAGUUAUCUUUAAGAUAACAGAGAGUAUUGAUUUGCACUAAGUAAACAAAAGCCUUAGAGAUUGAUCAAUUUCAGCUUUGCAAGAGCUUCAAACAAUCUUUGUUGUUUUCUUGUAUGCUUUGCAAUGGUGCAAGUAAUGCUGCGCCUUUGAUCUCUAUUUAUAUAGUCUUUGGACUCAUAUAGCCGUUGUAAGGUGACCAAUGGUGUUAUGCCACGUGUCCUGGGCCCCACAAGCUUUUACUUGAAAAUCUGGGUGAACAUUCUGAACAUCAGAAUGUUGUUAAGUUCCCAAGAUGAACAUCAGAAUGUUGUUGUGUUCUUCAUCAGAAUGUUUGAUAUUCAUGAUGUUAUUCAUCUAGGUUCAUCAAGGAUGAAUGUCUGAUGAGUUUCUGGGACCAUCCAAUACGUGACAAAAGAUUUGUUCAAGUUUUAUCCCUCAAAAGUUACUUCUCCAUAUGCAUCAAAAGUUGCUUGAAAAAGUAGGAUAAAGUUGAAACAAAUCUAUCUUGGAUUUGGUGCAGGAGAGAGAGGAUAGUGGAUCUGCAAUCUUCAAGCCCAUGCUUCAAGGAGAUUUGCUUGAUUCAUCUCAGAGUACACGUUAUCUCUGAUGCAAGAUCUCCUUUUGCUAGCUUUUCCAUUUUUCCACCAACUACACUGUUCAUGGCUGGAAGCAUGUGCAGAAGUGAACAUUCUGAUCUUAGAAUGUUCCAUUUGUUCUUACUUUAGGUUGAUUUGUAAGACUUAACUUUUAAUGUAAUCAAACCUAAUAUUAAGAUAUAGCUGAAGUGCAGUGAAUGCAUCAUCUAGGACAAUAUUCUCUUUGGAAUAUUCCUAGUACUUUAAUGUUCAUAGUCUUGGAUGAACAUUAAAGAUCUUUUUGACAUAGUUUCUUGUCCAUGCCUUUAUUUGUUGAUAGAUUAAUGCAUAUGUACUUUUCUGGACCUUUUAUUCAUGUCAAGUGUACUUGCAUGCUCUUCAUGUUCUUGAUGAAUCUGGGUUGCUUAUGAACAACCUUCUGAACUAUCAUCAGAACGUUCUGAUCAACAUUCUGAACUAACUUUCUGAACAUCAGAAUUAGUUCAUGGAUUCAAUGUCCUUUCUGAGCCUUAGCUCUGGUGAUGGGUCUGUUGGCCAUCUUUUCCGCACUUUGAACCUUUAGAGUAGAGGCAAGAAUGGCAACGUCUUUGCCUUUCCCUCUUUUUCUAGGAACGAAUUCCUCUUCCUCUGUUUCUGCUUCUUGUUCAUCUUCAGAUGAGGUUUUCUCUUCAGACAAAGGCAGUGUUUCCUUUGCAAUCUGCUUCCUUCUUUGAUAAACUAUCUUUGCAGCUUUAGCCAUCUGAAGGAGAGUUUCUUUAGUCUUCUCAGAGCUUGCUUCUUCUUCUGCAACUCCUUUACCUUUUCCUGAGACUUCUUCCUCACUUUUCUCAGAUUUCUCUUCAUCAGAGACUCCAUUCUUCUCUUCAUUAUCAGAUACUAAAUCAACAUGGGUGGUGUUUGGCUUAGACGAUGAUCCCUUUCUCAUCCUUUGGGAUCUUCUGAUUGGCUUUUUAGAAGUUUUAGGUUGGGAUGAUUUUCAAGUGUCAUGUGCAGGAAUAAUGACAUCUUGCAAAAUGGUGUGAAGAGGGGUCUCGUUUAGAGGAGAAUGAUCAGAGGAUUGAUCAUUAGCAGCGUUUGGUGGUGAUUGGGAACGAACACGAGAAGAUGUUUUGGUUCGAGCCAUUGUUCGUGAAAAACAGAGUAUGAGAGAAUUGGUUUAUGUUUGGUUUUGAUUUAGAGAAAAAGGUGGUUUGGGAAAGAUGAAGUGUGAUAAAAAAAUCUGAACAAGUGAUAGACUUUUUUAUAGAGCCAAACGUACAGUUGGAGGAAUGAAGAAAAGGUGUUGGCAGUUUUAUUGGGAAAGAUGAAAAACUGAAAAGUUGUGGGAGAGAGAAAGAACUAGCCGUUUGACAAGAUGGAAGGAGAGUGGUUGAAAUGAUUUUUAAGCUUUGUCUAAUGGAUAUAGCUUAAACAUAACAAACCUUAAUCAAACAUUUAAUGCUUGAGAUUUUGAAGAGAUUUAUGGAUAAUCAACACACUAAAUCCUGCGUGUGUGAUUUUUUGACCCAGAAUCCAAAGGUUAAACAUUCUGAUCUUUUAAGAACAUACUUAACCAUAUCAAUGUUUGAACAUUAUGAUCUUAUGAAUAGACUGACCAGAUAGUUUUUUCAAAAGAUUUUGACUUCAUGAACAUUCUGAAGUACAAUCUGAUGAACAUUCUGAAGAACAUUCUGAAGAACAUUCUGAUGGAAUGAACAUUCUGAUUUAUGUGAAUAUAUCUGAUUUGGAUCAUACAACAUCAGGGGGUUUAGUCUAAGGCCCUUAGUGAUCGGUGAUCAAUCUUUAUUGGGAUUUUUUAUGAUUUGCAAUUUUUCUUUAAGAAAAUUGAAUCUAUCCUCAACAAGGGGUUUUGUGAAAAUGUCAGCUAGUUGAUUUUCAAUAUCAACAAAGCUUAAUGCAAUAUUCUUUUUAUGAACAUGGUCUCUAAUGAAAUGAUGUUUUAUUUCAAUAUGCUUAGACCUAGAAUGAUGAAUAGGAUUCUUAGAAAGAUUAAUUGCACUUGUAUUGUCACAAUAAAUAGGAACACUUGUGUACCUUAGAGAAUAGUCUUCCAGCUGAUUUCUUACCCACAAAAUUUGAGAGCAACAACUAGCUGCAGAUACAUAGUCAGCUUCAGUUGUGGAGAGUGCAAUGGUGUUUUGCUUUCUGCAAGACCAUCCAAUCAAUGCUUGUCCCAAGAAUUGACAGGAGCCACUUGUACUCUUCCACUCAACUUUGUCUCCAGCAUAAUCAGCAUCACAAUAUGCUACAAGAUCAAAACUAUAACCUUUUCUAUACCAAAGGCCAAGAUCAUUAGUACCUACUAGAUAUCUAAGAAUCCUUUUAACUGCAGUUAAAUAUGAUUCUUUUGCACAUGUUUGAAAUCUAGCACAUAUUGACAUGCCAUUGAUGUUUACAACUCUAUCUUUGUCUUCAAUUUUUGAAAUUAAAGGAAGAUAAUUAUUCAAAAAUGCUUAAAACAAACUUUUAUGCUCAAAGCAGGGCCAAUAUAAGUGUAAGAACAAAAUAUGCAGACCUUAGAACAAUUUUUGAAGAUUAUAACAAGAUCACAUACAACAUCAUAAUGAGGAUCAAGUAUAUAAAAAAAUCUUCUAAGGAUAAAUUCAAACAUAAGAUUUGUUAUCACAAUUUUCGGGUGUCAAGUCAUUAAUUAGGCUUGAACCUUUCAAUCUUUGAUAAUCUCUAUUUUUUCUUGGGAAGGGCAAAAUUGAGAAAACCCUUAGAGUUUCUAAGUUCGGGGGUCGUUUUCGCUACGGGAAGGUGUUAGGCACCUGGAACGAUUAUGAUAUUCCAUAAGAACCGUUCUCCUAAGUUUAUUUCUACGCUUUACUUUUAUUGCCUAUUUUUUGAAAAAAGUUUUAUUUGAGUGAAGAAUGGGGGAGAGAAGAUGAUUGAGAUUUUAUUUUUAUUUGGCUUGGAGGAGUUUUAACUCAUUGCCUACGUACCCUUUUAAGGGAUCAAAACCAAACGUAGUUCAUUCUCAAGAAUUGUUUUUUGUUUUUGCUGGUUGAUUUUAAGUUUGAAAAAGGAAUUUUGAAGAAUGGAGAUGAGAGGCCUCAAGGGCAUGAGAUUUAGAAAAUGUGAGGUGGAAUUAGUUAUUUUGCAAAAUAAAGUCUAAGUAUGAUUAAAAUUCAUUAAGAUUUUUACUUAAGAAAAUGAAAGAAAAAUGAGGAGUUUUGACUCCUAUUUUUUUGGAAAAAGGUUUUCAAGUGAGGUUAUUCACAUUUUUUGGGAAAAAUGAUUUUUUGUCUAAGCAUUAUAAAACCUAAGCAUACAUCUAAACAUACAUUCCCUAAUCAUGCAUCUAGAAUAUCCAUGUGGGGUGUGUGCAUGUGUCGGUGCUUGUGUCGGUGUACAUCACUUAUAGUGUCCAUAGUCCUUUACAUCGAGUCCUAGAUACAUGCUAUGGUCUUGCAAGAAUGUAAACUAAACUAAACUAACUAAAUUUAUUACAAACCAGUUGGCAUAGAAAUGAAUACAAAAAUAAAACCUAAACUAGGAGCAAUGAGGGUACAAAGAUUAGGUGCUUAUGGAAUGAAUGAGAUAUGAAGCAUAAGAGUUAGUAACACAAGUACAAAAUGAUAAUAAUAAAAAAAAAGAUACAAGCAAUAUAGAAUUGAAUAGCACAAGAGAAAGAAAAUAAUGCAAUGAAACAAAGUAGUAAAAAUACACCUAGAAUUUAGGUAUAACACUCACACAUGCAUAUGACCUAUAAUUCCCUCAUUAUAGCCAUUUUUGAAAGGUUUGAAUUUAAGCUACAAUGUGAGGAUCAUAAGAGUACACACAAGCCAAGCAUUAUAUCAUAUUCCUAGAGAUAUUUCCACACAUUAUUUCACAUGCAAAAAUAUCACAAUAUGUAAAAAUGCAUCAAGAACAUAUAUGGAAUUUAAUGAGCAAGAAUUAAAAGAACAAAGUAAAGAAAAUGAAUGCAAAAAUAAGCAAAUAAAUUCUAAUACUUAGAGGAAAAAUUAAAAUGAUAGGGAAAUAUUUUUAGAAAUUUUUUUAGAAGCAUAAAACACCAAGAAAGUGUAAAAAAAGUAUUUAAAACACAAUUAAAAAGAGGCUCAGCAGGAUUUAAUCUGGUCCGCUGGAUGAAUCCAGAGGUCCAGAUCUAACUCCCAAGAUCACAUCACAGCCACCGGAUCAAAGAUCCAAGGGUCCAAAAAAAGGCACAAAAGAUAGUGUAAAAUGCAGGAAGCACAGUGACCGUUAGAUCAAAGAUCUAACGGUUCAGACAGAAGAUAUAGCAUAUUUCACACAAAAAAUCACACAGGAUUCAAAAUCAAACACACAGCAACCAUCAGAUCUUGGAACAAUUCAGAUCUGAUGGUUCACAGAGCGAGGGAACACCACAGAAACAUGCACGCGCGCGCGUGGGAACGGAGGGAGUAUAUAAAGGAAUUUUCACACAAAAAACACAAAGUCCACAAAAAAAACUUCUCUCUUCCUUGGAUUCUAGAGAGAGAGAGUCUGACCUCUCUCUAGAAUCCGGUCAUCUUCUCCGGUGUGACAAGCUUCUCCGGCGCGGUGGCCGGCCACCUCAAGGUGGCGGCACCGCCACCGGAAAAUUUGUUUUGCUCCGAUUUAAAAAAAAAAUUACAUUUUUAAACAUCCUUUUUUCUCCUAUGCAUGAAUCUGAGCUUAGUUUUUUGAAAAAGAAUUUCAACCGGAGUAGAUCUGAGUUUGAAGUUGCGGUUUUGAAUGAAGUUUUUUCAAGUUCUUUGUGCUUUUUUCGGUUAAAAACUUCUAUAAUCCUACAGAUUUACACUUGAUUCGCCUUUUUCUUUGUUCUCGAGAAAAAAGAUGAAGUUUGAGUUUUACCUGUGGUUUUCUUGGUGAUUUCGAACCGGAUCUUCAGGAAAGCUUCGAUUUGAUGCUGUUUUUGUGGAUUUUCUGGCUUGGAUCCGAAAAUAAAUCGGUUCUUCUCUUCUUCUUCUUCACCGGUUCGAAUCUGCUUCUUUUCCUCUUCUUCUCAAAAAGACUCCGCGAUCGUGCUUGAGUUCGCCGCUUUCAGUGGUGAGUUCGCACUCGAAUUGCAGAGCAAAACGAUUCAGUGAUGAAGGUUCUUUGACGAAUCUCUGAGAAUCGGAGAAGAACGGAUGAAUCUGUUGAAUUUGAGUUCUGGAAAAAUUUUAGGGUUUUUGGUUUGUUCUUCCUCUUUUUCUGAGUUUUUUCUGUUUUGAUUCUGUUAUGGAUGAGAGAGAGAAAAAGAUUCUGUUUGAGACUGAUUGUGAUUGAUUCUGAUUUUUUUUCUGACUGAUCUCUUUCUUGAUGGAUCUGACACAUUGUGAUGGAUCUGACACAUUUACUAUUUAUAGCCUGCCAUGUGUAUCUGAGACCCAAUGGAAAAUUGACACCUGGACUGUUUUGGACUUAAGGACUAAUCUGCAAUAAAGUUAAUAUGAGGACUACUCUGCAAUUAAAAAAAAGACUAAAAAAAUGCAAUUAAAAAAAAGAGUAUUGGACAAAAAUGCAAUUUUGGGAUCUGUUUGAGUACUAAAAAUGCCAUUAAAAUAAAAUUGGACUAAAAUUGGUAAAUUGGACAAAAAUGACAGGAAAAGACCAAAAUGCCCCUAGGGACUAAAAUGACCCAACCUGACUCGGAUGCAGUUUUGAAAUGAUUUUAAAAAGAGAUUCUACAAUGAUUUGUACAGACAAGUUAGAAAGACUCAGAGACAGUUACAGGGACUAAAAUGGGUUCCACCGCAGGAAAUGACCAAAAUACCCUUUUGUAUGAUUUUUGAAAAUAAAAUGCAAGAAAAGUAAUGCAAUGAUUCAGAGAAUUUUCAAAUGACUUGUAAUGCAAGAAAGACACUUUGGAUAGUUUUAUGCAAGAAAAUCAUGAUUGAACAUACUUUGAGACAGAGACAGUAAAAUAUGCAGAUGAAAAGAGAGUAAAGAUUCAGAGUAAAACAACAGUAAUUUGACAAUUAUAAGUAGUA
rnacentral:lncRNA from 1 species